GCGGACAUCAAAGCUUCAAAAUUAUUCCGUGGAGUAAUUAGAAAAUGGAUGGGAGAUGGAAAUACAGUGAUGGUCAUGUCCAUACAUAGCAUUUCGAGAAUAAACACAAAGAAUUUCACUUCCACAGUUCCAGACUUCCAGUACCACUGAAAAUCAAUCAACAAACACUCACCGAAUAAUAAUUCGCUUCCGGUCUGCCUCUUGUGAUAAACUACCGGCUCAGGAAACAUAGUUGAACAUACAUACAUACUGCCGCCAUUGAAACAACAUACGGGAAGGUGGAAAUAUGGCAAAUGCCAGGAAUAAAACACAAACAAACAAAAAGUUGUGGACAAGAUCCAGCAAUCUCCUUCAAUGGGAACCAAGGUUUAAGCAGAUCCAAACUCGGCCAUCCACUUCUCGUGCCGUUCGAUAUCAGAGGGCGACACACUCUUCUGGACCUUGACCAAAGCUUCUUCAAAGUCACACAUGGCUACCGGGUCCUUUGAGAUAUCAUCCUUUGACAUGUUCUUGAUCUCAUCACGGGUCUUGCCUGCAAUCUUUCGCCUCAUACCAUUCAUCGAAGCAUCACGGCAAACAUUUGUCAGGUCAUCCCCACUAUACCCUUCUGUCCUUCGUGCGACUUCGUCGAUGUUAACGUCAGUAGCUACCUGUUGAUACAAAAGUGGGGCGUUAGUAAGCAACACGAGAUAUUAAACAGUGACUUAUCAUCAACGUAGAUGAUGCAGUAUGAUUAGUGAACAGUAUCCCUGAAUGAAAUAAAACCAUAACGACCAAAUGACGAAAAGAUGAGUAACAAAUGCUUUAGUACAUCAUACCUCAACCGUUCUAAGAUUUAUGCUGAUGAGUGAUUUUCUGCUUUCAAAACUUGGAAGUGGAAUGUAGAUACGCUUUUCCAGCCUCCGCCUGAGCCAAUCAAGAUUCAGUGAGUUAAAAAACCAUAUGUGCCAGAGGAACGGUAACAUAAAUAUAGUUACAGUAGUAGAGCAUGUAGCUAGCACGCUGACUGACAAACAAAAUGGCAGGAAAAAUAAAUAGCAAAAGCUGUAGUUUCACUGCAGAAAAGAACUGUUUAUUGCGGUAGACAGUACAAAUAGGGAAAACGGGACAUUAACCAAUGUAGAGGCAUGAGAGCAGUUAAAAUUCAGAACACCCAGAUACCACUCUAGCCCGCAAAGGUAGCGAAUAGAAACACAACUCAAGUUACAGAUGCUCAAGGCUCUGAUCUUACCCCAUAAAACGGCGACAUGACAAAUGUGGCAGGAACUAAACAAAAUAAUCAUUUGCCUUAUUUGAAGGAAACUAGUAUAUUCGUACGUGCGAUACACAUUAAUAUUAAGGUAAAAAUUAAUUGCAAACUGAUAUUAGGUAGGAUAUCAAUUAAGCGUUAACUACAUGGAUAGUGUAGCCGUCGAUAUUUGGUAUGAUAUUAAUUGCAUGUUAAACACGUUGAGUGAUUGCCGUUGGAGCAAUAUAGGUCGUUGGAUUAACAUGAUUUGAUGGUCGAGAUUUGUUUGGAUCUGUCCCUUUGGGUCUUUUUAUAUUGGUAUAGAUAUAGAUAUAUGUACUACACUUCACCUCUGGUGAUCUCUAACUACAAUAGUAACACAACAAAAGAAAUCAAUCCGGUCUCUAACUCUAAUAACAGCAACACAACUCUAGAAACCAAUCCGGUCUCUAACUCCAAUAGCAACACAACACUAGAAACCAAUACGGUCUCUAACUCCAAUAGUAACAUAACUCAAGAAAUCAAUCAUCUCGUACAAAUUCAGAUAUUAUGCAAAGAGUUUUGAUACUACCAGUAGCACCUCUAAAUUAAUAAAUGCAAAUAUGAGUGAAAGAGUUCACCAACCUGAGUGCUUCAUCAAUAUCCCAUGGAAAGUUGGUAGCUGCCAGAACCAUAACAAUUUUCGGCUGACCAUCUUCAUUGGUAGAGCUAUUGUUAACACCAUCUAUUUGCACUAGAAGUUCAGACUUUACCCUCCUCGAUGAUUCAUGCUCACCAGAAGCUCUGAAUAAAUACAUAAAUUGAUAAAUCAGGGCACGGUAUUUUCUAAAUGAAGAUAAAUAGUAAAAUAUAAGAACUGGCAGUUUCAUAUUUUCAUUACAUUUGCCUGUCAAGCUUAAUUAAAAAGAGGUAUAAAAAGCACGAGAGUGUUCUCUUCUGCGACAUGUAACUUAUUUACCAGGCAAAACAAUUAAGAAUGUCUUCAAGUUUAAGGUACAAAGCUAUUGGGAAAAUUGUCAUUAUCUUGGCCGGCAUUAAUAGAACUUGAACUUGCAUGGCGAACAGCAAAAUGUAUGGUCACAUACCCACGAGAUGUGCAUAGGGAGUCUAUUUCAUCAAUGAAGAUUGUACUUGGAGCAUAGGCCCUUGCAAGUUCAAAUAAACAACGGACCAUGCGCUCACUCUCCCCCCGCCAUUUCGAAGCCAAUGUUGCAGACGAAACAUUAAAGAAUGUUGUUCCACAUUCUGUAGCUACUGCCUUAGCUAGAAGGGUCUUCCCGGUACCUGGUGGGCCAAACAUAAGAACCCCUUUCCAAGGUCGACGAAUACCCUGAACAGAAAUAGAACCCGAAGGAGUAUGAUGAGGGCGCAUGUAACUUUAGACUGAAUGGAACAGGGCACAGAAAAAGAGAAAACAUACGACAUUAAUAUCAUGAGUAACUAAUUUUAGAAACUCAAAUUGCGGUUAGCGUGAUUGGGUAUGCAUAAUAUUAAAUGACAUAUUAUAAACCAGCCAUAUUAAAGAAAAAUUAAAAAGUGUGGAUGUCCAGAUGACUCAUGUGCACCAUACUACGAAAGAAAGGCAGCAACUUUGUCCAUGGUCAUGAUGUUAGAUAGCAACAAGAAUGAAUGAACAGAUAAAAUAACAGACACUUCAUUGAAUAGCAUAGUUCGAAAUUCCAAAUCAUUACCUGAAAAUAUUCAGGCAUCCAGAGAGGAAGCACAACUGCUUCCUCAAGGAGUCUUUUGGCCUCACUAAGUCCUGCAACAUCAUCCCAUCUCACUCCUGGGGUAGAGUCUAGAACAUCUCUUUCAAGCAUGGCAGCUAAGUCCCCAUCCGGUCCUUCAUACUGUGCCUUCUUGGACUUACCUUCUUCAGCAUCGCUGCUCUGAAAGGAAAGGAUAAGAAAAAAUAGAAAAUUUUAGAAACGCAAUUUGCAUAUAGCAGUAAUCUGUAGUUCCAUAUCAUCAAGUUGAUCAAAAAGCUAAACCCAACAAGAGGCACGCACAAAAAAAAACAUGCAUAUAUGCGGAUUCCAGUUCCCUAAUUUAGAAGGUAACAAUAGAUGCUCUCCUAUUUCAGUAUGUGAUUGCUUUUGAAAUGCUUGGUGAUUUCAGCAUCAUUCUUGUUGUGUGCGCCGUCAUACUUCGCGCCUAUGGAAUAUGCACAACGAGGAGCUAGAAAUAGAUGAUGAUAGAGUAUUCCUUCAGUACAGAGUUAGAAAAAAGUGUCUUCAAUAACUAUAAGAAGGUAUGUUUCUCGGUAUGACAAACUAAAUGAUUUUAGGAACAAAUUGAUAAUCCAAAUCGACAUAUUUAAGGCUAUCUUCUAAAAAAAAGGCUGAGGUUAACUCCACUUUGCAUACACCAACAUAUGUUGGAAAUAACAGCUGUAGCCACAUUUUGAAACCAUACAAUACAAAAACUAAUAUAUAAGAAGUAUGUAUCCUGGAUGAUAUUCAAAAGCUCCCUUUUCUUCUUCUUUUGGCACCAGGCAGACAGGCAGGUAAACAUUGCCAGCAGAAAAAGAAGCACUAAAAGUCUAAUUCUUAAACAUAUAUUGUUUUCAUUCAUGGGUGCAGACAGAGGUAACUAACAACAUCAACAAAAUAUAUUUGAUCAAAUAAAGAUUUCAGAGUGUAACGAAUAUUUGCUUGAAGGAAAUUACCGCUGAAUCAGCCUUGCUCGAACUUGAUUUUCCUUUCCUCCCGCCAGUGCUUGAAGCAGUUGAUGAUCUUACCGCAGAGUUUGCUUUACUUCCGCUGGGUUUUGCACCACGGCUAGGUGUUCCAGUCUUUGAUGGACCCCGUGCCCAAGCUCCAUCUUGGGAGGAUUUUCUUGCACUAGAUUGGCCUCUUGCUGACCUUCGGUUUGGUGUAUUUGUAUCUCUUGGAGGUGCCCACACAUCAGGGUCGUCAAAGGUUGAUGGCGAUGAUGUUGGAUACUCGUCCAAUGGUUGGAACAGAAAUGAUUUAUUAUUAGAGCGAAUAGGAGGCGACGAGGACCGCAUUGUCCCAGGGGCUUCUUUAAAUGACUUCAAUUGGGUAUCGAGCUGCCUAACAAUCUCUACCUCUUCACUUAUAGCUUUCUUACAGUUCAUCCAUUUUGUGCGGAUAAAGGUGUCAUCUAAAUUAGCUAGAUGCCUGCAUAAAUAUUCACGAUCAACUAUCACAUCAUGAAGGACAACAAAUUAAAAACAUCUGUUAAGGUUUUACUCCUAAGUACUAAAGAUAACAAAGCAACGGGGAAAUGCAUUAUCUUAGUUUUAAAUAUCAACAGCAUUCGCCACAUCAAACAUUUUACCUUCAAACCUGCAAUCGAGUAACACAUCAACAAGAACAGGGCCUCUCGCACAAUGCGACUCAAAGCAGAUCCGCAAAAGGCUGGUUCUGACGUGAAUGCAAUGUUUUAGUGAAAACAUACGACUACUGUUUUGAAAGUUUCAAGAUGAAAUGAAGCAUUGGCGUUCAUUAGGUGCAAUCUGGGUGCAACCGUACAGAGCUCAGUAUCAUUUCUACAAUAACCAAGGUGCCUCGUGACUUCAAAUCCAGGCAGACUUUACAUACAUGACCUGAUAUUCUGGAGCACCCAAAUCAUGAACAUGAGCUACUACUGGGACGCUUUUUGACGGCAGAUCAGCGCAAAUAGACGAUUGUUUUCUCGACCCUAAUUAAUGAUAAGCAUCACAACAUACUACCAACCGCAAGACUUCUCGCUUACAGCAAAAUGACUAGAACCCACUAUACCAGAACAAUCAAAUGGAUCCUCACGGGCCAAAUCCGAGGCCGUGAGGUCGACUGCACAGAUCCACACGGGUACGACGUCGCGAAUUACACAGCGCCUAACCGCCGGCGAAUCCGGGAGGGUGGGCUAGGGAGCUCACUUGUUGAUCUGCGCGAUGGCGCCGUCGAAGAAGAUGAUGGAUGUGUCGUAGAGGCCCUCGAGCGCGUAGUCGCGCGCGUGCUUGAGGUGGUCCUGCAGCCCGGCUAGGGGGUUCGCCAUUGCCGCCGCCCCCGCCGAGAUACGGGGCUACAGAUUCGCCAGAGCACGCGCGGGGUAGGAAGAGGCGCGCGGGGGGGAUGGAUUGAGAAGAAGCAGCGAGCUACAUGUAUCGUCUGAUUCGAAUUUGGGGAUUCAGACGAGAGGGUUACGGUGGCUGUCUGUUGGCGUCCGAGACCUGGGUGGGAGGAUGGAGACUCGCUCGCUCAGCUUGCCGACGCGUCUGUGGCCCACUGUCAGCGAGGUACUAAUCGGCUGCUGUUCUAUCCUUCUUUCUCUUUUGACCGGAAUCGGCUCCAGUUCUCAAAACACUAGUUCAUAAUCAUAUUUCCCUCAAAAAAAAAAGUUUAUAAUCAUAUUAACGAGGGAGAAAAAAUGCGAACGUGUUCCUUGCUGGAGCCAACCCAUCAAAGUUUAAAGUUGAGGUAAUAUCACCGGGAGCCAUAGAACUUGCUUUGGACGUUCAGUUUGGUGCUAAAACUUUUAAAAUUCGGGUUUUUGGUCACCUAACUUGCAAUCUCGUGCAAAUACGGUCAUAAAGCAUGUACGCCGGCAUAUCCGUUGCGUGCAUGGCGUGGCACGUGUGCAUCUUCCCACUGUCAGGGUCAGUUAGUGGCGGAGGCGCUAGGUAUGAUGUUCUUUUUUUGCAGAAACACCCUCAAUUUGUUCAAAUGAUUCACACGUAAUAAGUACUGUAAUUGCCUCUGUCUUCUUCAGUUCCCGCCGCGCGUGCUAACCACCACAAUGAACGUCCUUUGAUGUCUAAUACAAAGAUGCAUAUGCUAUUAUAUUGGUCAACUGACAAAUAAAUUCCUUAUUUCGGCCGGGACAACCGUAUACAAAGACGCCACCGAUGUCAGCAAUAAGCUUGCUCUAAUAUCGAGUUAUAUAAAUGAAUUCAGAGGGUGAGCGAAUUUAUUUCCAUUCCUCUCAAAAGAUUUCGGUUGGUUUGAAUUCCUAUUUCAAAGUGGACUUGGAUCACUUAAAAUUAAAAUCCAAUUUUGUACUGUAGCUGUAGGUCAGUUUUCUUCACACAUCUAGGCCUAGAGUUCAAAUCAUGAGGCAAUUAGCCAAUUUUGUAUAUCGCAAAAAAAGGCAAUUUUAUACUGCUGUGGUAGGUCAUUUUGAUUAUUUUUGUAUCGAAUAGGUGUUUUGGCAAAAAUAUAACCUGCACAAGAUUCGAACCUGGUCCAGUUACAUUAUAAAUUAUUUGAAUUUAAAAUGUAAAAAUCUAGAUAAAAAAUAUAGCUAGCAAAUGGCCCAUAUUUUUUAUCUAGAUUUUUACAUUUCAAAUUAUUUGAAAAUUCAAACAAGGAAAUGACAACUACUCGAGGGUGAGCAGUUUUUGUUCGCUCAAAUUUAUUCAAACGGAAUUUGAAAUUGCACUAAAAAUCUGUAUAAUUGGUAGGUACUGCGCUGUAAAUAUCAGCUAAAAUUGCAAAAGUUUAGUGGUGGAGACCAUCGGAAUCGACAUGAAGAACCCUGCUUUCUCUAUAAAAUAAAAGAUGAUGUAUCUCUUCAUAGACAUGAAAAUGUGCUCGGUGCAGUGGUUGGCACAGGGCAUGUUUGUACAUGACGACGUGAAAUUAGACGAAUUAGACUACAAGGAAAAACAAAACGCAGCGGCAGCGACAGUCCGUUGGCCUUUAUUCAUCUAACAGACUGUCAAGUGGAACCCACACGUGCUGCUGCACAACUAAAUAUAGAGCAGAGGUGUUUCUAAAAAAACAUGCGCACACUUGCUCCUGUCACUAACAGUGGGCCAUAGUCAUGUUGGCAUGCCACUUAAAUGCCAGAUACGGGCGAAGUGACCGUAUUUACACGAGAACGCAAGUUGGGUGACCACAAACCCGUAUUUUGAAAGUUCUAGCACCAAACUGAACAUCGAGAGCAAGUUCUGUGACUUCUAGUGAUAUUACCUCUUUAAAGUUCAAGUCCUAUGUUGGGUACGAGUUUUUUCUUUUUUGAGAAUCACCGGGGGGCUCCCCCACCUGAAUAUAUUACUCAAAGGACUGUCGAGGCAGUAAGUACAACAUUAUAUAGGCACGGUGCAAUGUGUAGAGAGGUAGGAGCGCCACGAGAAGACGUCCUCCUUGUCAUGUGGGAGCACAAGACGAUGAGACCGGAGAUCCAGAGUGGAAAUAAGGUUUCUAAGGGUUAUUACGGAACUUUGGUCAAUCGUCCUAAAUACCAUGUCAUUGCGAGCAGACCAAAUCAUCCAUAGCAAGGCCAGGAGGACCGAAGGCCAUGUGGAGGUGGGGAGGUGAGGAGGGGUAGCGACAUCCCAGAGGUCUGUGAUAUCAUCGGAUUGGGGCAGAAGGCCAAAACGUUGCCAGAUCCUAUUGGCAAGAGGACAUGUGAUGAACAGGUGGCUGGAGUCUUCUGGCAGCCUUGCACACCGAGGGCAUAUAUCUGAGGCGAGUAUAUGUUUGCGUGCAAGGUUGAUCCUGGUGUUGAGGUGGUCUUUGAAAAGCAGCCAAGCGAAGACUUUGAGCUUUCGAGGAAUCUUUGCGGUAUGAGUUUAAAGUUCAAGUCCUAGUAUUUUCUAGGUUUAUUUCAGAUCUUCCGACAGCGUGCGUUCAUAUGCAUGAGUGUGUGUUUGUAUGUAUGUCUACCAAGAUGAGUGUCCUGGUCUUUCGAUGAGAUGGUGAUGGAACCGAUUUUGACGAUCUGACUACAAACAUGCAUGGCGUUGCGUCUUAGCAAUCACUAAAUCAAUCUCCUUAAAUUAUUGACGAUGUCAGAAGCACGAUCAGUCUGACCAUGAAGGUCUAUUCAUGCAAACAAUCAAAUAACGAGCAAAAAUAUGAUAAAGGCAGUCUGAAUAUUGAGAAUAUAAAUCAUGUACUAGCAAAAGGGCAUGUGUGUUGCAAUGAGGUAAAAGAAAGUCUUUGUCACCACAAUUAAAUGCAUUGCCCAUUUAGAAAAAGGAAUUUAAUGCAUUAGCAUCCGCAACACAAGAAGUAAAUAAUUUGCUACAACCUAUAAGAAGCAACAUUAUAUGUGUUAUAUUAUAUGUGCAAAUGUGCAAACAAUCAACAACCACAAAAAUGAAAAAAAAAUCUACAUCAAAUGUUCAUUAUGAUAAUCAUAUAUUUAGUGCUUCUACGGCGUCAGCCUGAUUUUGUCCUUCCUAGUUUGUCGUCAGAGCGAGUUGCACUGUCUAGUCGCAGGUGACUAGGUUUGGCAUGAAUCUUCAUAUAUCUUCACUCGGCCUCUGCUGUGUGGGUUGAGUCGACUAUCGCCUACGGCAAAGUCGGAGUCGUUUGGUCAGGGUUUUAGGGAUGGUGAUGAUGCCUUUAAAGGAUAACUAGAUGAUGCCCCACGCGUUGUUGCGGGAAUAUUUUGCAGUAUUUUAAUGAGAUUUUGGUUAUAUGAAACAUGAAUAUUUGAAAUAAUAGUUUUUAAAAUUAUAUAUGAAUUAAAUUUAAUAUCAUAAUAGAAUGGAAUUUUACAUGCAUGCAUAUUUUGCAUGUUGAAGUGGAUUUUUAAUAUGCAUAGUUGCAUGUUGGGGUGGGCCUUUUCUAUGCAUGUUGAAUGAUGAGGUGGCAUGCUUGCAUGUUGAGAAAAAUAUGUUAGUGGGGGGCUAGCUAUUUAGAUAUAGAAGAUUAGGAGGUACAACAAUAGAAAUAAGACCAAUAAUCAUAUCUUUAUUAUGUAGAUCUUUAAUGCGAUGUUGUUUGGUGAACUUAGAACAAUUAAAUUCAUGCGGUUCAUCAUCAAACUUAACUUUAACUUUCUGAUUAACACAAUCAAUUUCAACAUUAACACUAUAUAUUCAUGAAGGGUCUACCAAAUAUAAUGGACAAAAAUUAUCUUAUUCAGAUCCAAGCACUAAGGAGUCAGUAGGAUAUUUGAUCUUAGCACACAAGACUUCAGCAUCCCUUACAAUCCCAAUAGGUGAGAUUGUAUACUAUUUGCAAGCUUAAUAGUAACGUCAAUUUCUUCUAUCUCAAGAAAUGAAAUAUUAAGCAUGACUCGAGAGAGAGAGAAAUAUCACUUAUACUAUCACAUAAACCAUGAUAAUAAUGAUUAUUUUUAUCUUUCUUAUCAUGUUUAUUUCUAACGGGUCUAGGCAUUCUAGCAGCAUCAUCACAUAAAUAAAUAAAAUGUCGGUCAAUAUUUUCAACCAAAUGAUCUUUAACCAUGGCAAUAAAAGGUUUUACUUUAAUUUCUUCAAAAUUUUGAAGUGCUUUAAUAUAACUUAACUUUUAUAAACCACAAUCAUAACCUUAGAGUGCUUCUUAAUUCUAAUAAGAAAAUGUGACUUUUCAAUAUAAGUAGUAGGUACAACAAGAUUAGCAGAAUAAGCUUGUAUUUCAGUAUUAGCAAUAAUAGGUUCUUCACAUACUCCCUUCGUCCCAAAAUUCUUGUCUUAGAUUUGUCUAAAUACGGAUGUAUCAAGUCACGUUUUAGAUAUAUCUAGACAGAUUUAAGACAAGAAUUUUGGGAUGGAGGGAUUAUAUUUUUAAUGGGUUAAUGAUAUUUAAAUCAUUUCUCCUUAGGGAGAUCAAUAUAAGUAGCAAAAGAUUUACAAAAAUAACAACUAUAUCAGAAUCAAAUCCAUAUUUUGCACUAAGCUCAAGAAAAAUCUCGGUUUCUACAAAAAAGACUUAACACAAUCGUAUUCAAGGUUUAUACUCGACUCUUACCUUUGUUGACUCCAAUCUUCAGCAUUCCGUUUAAUUCUUUCGACAAGAUCCCAUUUGAAUUUAGUUUGUUUACUUGAGAAAGAACUAGUGGAAGAAGAAUCGAGCAUUUCUUUAUUGCGAAGAGAAACCCUGGCAUAAAAGGUUUGAACAAUAAUAUCACUCCAUAGCUCAUGAUUGAGGCAUUUGAGCAUUAAGUUUUUAUGACACCCCCCUAAGUUUGAGAGAUAUUUUCUUCUUCAUGAGGCCAAAAAAUGUAAAUAUAAUUCCAAUCACGGUGAACCGGGUGAAUAGGAUAAAAUUUAUUGUGGAUUCCAGCUUCAGUCGGUUCCAGUCCCAUGAGUGAGAAUCAUUCAAUAUCCUAUAUAUACCAUGCCGAUGUUUUUUCCUCCAAAGAGAAAGGGGAUAACUUCCUUUUGACUCCAUCCCUCGAAAUACUGCAAGCUUAAAUAAUCACAUAGUUCAUCUAUAAGAAGUAAGUGCAUAUAAGGAUGAACUAUUCCAUCUCCUAGAUAGCGGUCUUGUGGUGGAGUAUUAGUUGUAGACACAAUUGGAUAACGGUCUACAUAUCACAGACAUAAUACCUAUAUGACAUUAUACCAUGAACGAUCAUAGUCAUAAAUAUAAAUAUUGCAAUUUAAGCGUUGUCCUACUGUAAUUUGUUCACCACGCCCCACUUGUAUGUUUGGAGAGAUGCCACUAGUGAACCUAUGGCCCCGAGGAUCUACUUUGCUUUACUAAAAACCUCAUCAAAAAUAAUUUCCCUUGUUGUACAACUUCUUUUAUUUUAUUUAUCUAUCAAUUCCUAUCAUACCAUGCAAUUUAAUCUUGUAACUAGCAAGACAAGAAGUUUGACAACCUUCUUGACGUGUUGGGAUUAGUUUGUCUUCUGUUUUGUGUGCAGGUACCAGUGGCUUUGUUUACUAGAAGAACUCUCUUUGAUUCGAUAAACCUUGAUUCUCUACUGAGGAAAUUACUUAUUGCUAGGAUACUUCACCCUUAUACAUGGGGGUGAUGUAUAAGAGUGUCGAACUCAACAAGGAGCAGAAGAAAUUGAUAGGCAGUUUUCAGCAAGGAUUUCACUGCAACUGUUGUAAGAUAGUUUUGAUAUAUAAUGUGAUAGCAAGAUAAUUGGUAAUAAGUAGAAAGUAGCAAGGUGCAGCAAGUGGCCCAAUCCUUAAUUGUGCUAAGGACAAGCCGGUGAUACUUCUUAUAGUGACUAAAAUGCUCUUGAGGACACACCAGAAUACGACCAAAGUUACUUUCACCAUGAUUCAUCGACCUAAUGUUCAUUGGUUUGAUAUGUGUUAUGUUGGUGUUCUGGAGCUAAGGUAUUGUUCUUACUUGAACACAUACCUACUUAUGAUUGUACCCUCCAUGCAGCAUCCACAAAUACAAGAGAAGUAAUUAAGGUAAAUCUAACCAUAACAUUAAACAUGUGGAUCCAAAACAGUCCCUCACGGAACAAUUCAUAAACUGGGGUUUAUGUUUCUAUCACUCCCGCCACCCAUCAUGUACAAACUAAUUCCAUGAUGCCUCCCCCUAAGCCCAAUGAUAAUGAAGCUUCAUGUACUUGAUGUUCCCAUAACACCACUAGAGAAAAAAUAACAAAACAUAAUAUUGUAACAUUGAACGGUGAUCAACUUCACAUGAUUACUAGUAACGAGACUUCUCCCAUGUUCUCAAGAACAAGUAGAACUACUCACAACUCAUCAUAUGGAUCAUGAUCAGUGGGUAUAAAUAUAUGAUUGAUAAUCUGAACAUAAUAAUCUUCCACCAAUUAAUCCAACAAGCAUCAACUAUAAGAUGUAAUUAACACUACUAGCACUCCCUGGUACCAAUAUUGAACACAAGAGAUGACUAGGGUUUGGAGAUAAGAUGGUGCUGGUGAAUAUGAUGAUCACCACGAUGAUUGGAAUGUUGACGAUGAUGAACACUUCAAUUUCUCCCUCCCUGAAGGAAGUAUCCCCGACAGAAUCGCUCCGCUGGAGAGCAAAAGUGCUCCUACCCUGAUUUCAUGGCAACGAAAAGUCCCGAAACUCCUAUUUUGAUUUUUUUCUAGGGAAAAUUGGAAUUUAUGGAAAAUGGACAUCGGGAGGAGACCCAUCAGGGACACAAAAGCUCAGGUCGUGCGACUAGUGGGGUGGUUGUGCCACCUGCCCUUGUGGUUGGCUGGUGGACCCUCUCUGGUCUAUUUUUGCUCCAUAAUUUAUUAUAUAUUCCGGAAUAAUUCUUUGUAUAUCUACACUUCAUUUUGAGCUUUGGAGAAUUGUUAUCUCUGCUGUAACUUUUUUAGGUCAGAAUUCCCGCUGUCAGCAAUCCACCUCUCUUGAUGUAACUUGCAUUUAAGGAGAGAAAAGGCAUUAGAAAUGCGUAAUAAUAUGAAGUAUAACAUUGAAAUAUGGUAAAUUACAGUAGGAAAUAAUGAUGCAAAUGAAUGUAUGAGGGGAUUACCCCAAUCACUCUUACGAGAGAACAAGCAACUCAUCGUGGGUGGUGGAAGGCCCUUGUGUUGCGACGCUGCCACAAAAUCACUAUGGACACAUGGAGUGUCGGUGUGCGGCUGACAUUAUGAUGGGAGAGCCUCUGAGCUCUCUGAAGGAGGAGAGCUCAGACGAGGAGGACGCGACGAUGGAGGAGGAGCAUCAGCCCGCGGCGGUUGCCGGGUUUACCCUACAGCAGACGAAAAGAAGAGCCACAACACCGUCAUGGCGGAGGCAUGGCUGGAAGAGUAGGCGCCGCCGGUCUCCGUGUUCUAGGUGCUAUAGGAGAAGCAGCAGUACAACCUGCUAUUCCUCGAGCACCACUACCUAGCGGAGGACCAGGUUGCUAGCGAGCAGUCGAACUAGUAGGCCAUCGCAGCCAUGCUUGCAGAGAAUUUCGCUUUCGUGGAUGAGCAGCGGGCGUUAUACGAGUCUGUACGUAGCGCUCGCAUAGUUCACCAUGCGCAGUGGCUGACGGAAAUAUGCCCUAGAGGCAAUAAUAAAGUUGUUAUUUAUAUUUCCUUAUAUCAUGAUAAAUGUUUAUUAUUCAUGCUAGAAUUGCAUUAACCGAAAACAUAGUACAUGUGUGAAUACAUAGACAAACAGAGUGUCACUAGUAUGCCUCUACUUGACUAGCUCGUUGAAUCAAAGAUGGUUAAGUUUCCUAGCCAUAGACAUGAGUUGUCAUUUGAUUAACGGGAUCACAUCAUUAGAGAAUGAUGUAACUGACUUGACCCAUUCCGUUAGCUUAGCAUUUGAUCGUUUAGUAUAUUGCUAUUGCUUUCUUCAUGACUUAUACAUGUUCCUAUGACUAUGAGAUUAUGCAACUCCCGAAUACCGGAGGAACACUUUGUGUUCUACCAAACGUCACAACGUAACUGGGUGAUUAUAAAGGUGAUCUACAGGUGUCUCCGAUGGUACUUGUUGAGUUGGCAUAGAUCGAUAUUAGGAUUUGUCACUCCAAUAGUUGGAGAGGUAUCUCUGGGCCCUCUCGGUAAUACACAUCACUAUAAGCCUUACAAGCAAUGCAACUUAUGAGUUAGUUGCAGGAUGAUGUAUUACAGGGUAAAGAGACUUGCCGGUAACGAGAUUGAACUAGGUAUUGAGAUACCGACGAUCGAAUCUCGGGCAAGUAACAUACCGAUGACAAAGGGAACAACGUAUGUUGUUAUGCGGUUUGACCGAUAAAGAUCUUCGUAGAAUAUGUAGGAACCAAUAUGAGCAUCUAGGUUCUGCUAUUGGUUAUUGACCGGAGAUGAAUCUCAGUCAUGUCUACAUAGUUCUCGAACCCGUAGGGUCCGCACGCUUAACGUUCGGUGAUGAUCGGUAUUAUGAGUUUAUUUGUUUUGAUGUACCGAAGGUAGUUCGGAGUCCCGGAUGUGAUCACGGACAUGACGAGGAGUCUCGAAAUGGUUGGGGCAUAAAGAUUGAUAUAUUGGAUGGCUACAUUCGGACAACGGAAGGGUUUUGGGUGAUCCUGAAGAAAACCGGAGUGUCAGAGGGGUUACCGGUACCCCCCGGGGACUAAUGGGCCUUAAUGGGCCCUAGUGGAGAGAGAGAGGGGCCGGCCAGGGCAGGCCGCGCCCCCUCCCGUUGACUACGAAUAGGACAAGGAAGGGGGGCGCCCCCUUGCCUUUCCCCUGUCCCACUCCUUCCUCCCCCUCCUAGUGGGACUAGGAAAGGGGAGUCCUACUCCCACUAGGAGGAGGACUCCUCCUCUUGGCACGCCCUCCUAGGGCCGACCGGCCUCCCCCCUUGCUCCUUUAUAUACGGGGGCAAGGGGCACCCCAUGACACACAAGUUGAUCAUUGAUCUUUUAGCCUUGUGCGGUGCCCCCCUCCACCAUAAUCCAUCUCGGUCAUAUCGUAGCGGUGCUUAGGCGAAGCCCUGCGUCGGUAGCUUCAUCAACACCGUCAUCACGCCAUCGUGCUGACGGAACUCUCCCUCGAAGCACUACUAGAUCGUGAGUUCAUGGGACGUCACCGAGCUGAACGUGUGCAGAUCGCGGAGGUGUCAUACGUUCGGUACUAGGAUCGGUUGAUCGUGAAGACAUACGACUACAUCAACCGCGUUGUCAUAACGCUUCUACUUACGGUCUACGAGGGUACGUGGAUGACACUCUCACCUCUCGUUGCCAUGCAUCACCAUGAUCUUGCGUGUGCGUAGGAAUUUUUUUGAAAUCACCGCGUUCCCCAACAGUGGUAUCAGAGCCACGUUUAUGCCUAGAUGCCAUAUGCACGAGUUGUAACAGCCUGGAUUUUGGUCCUUUUCUUUUUUCUUUUGAUUUAUUUAGUUUUUGCUCUGUUUUUCUUUUUGGAGUGGUUCCGUGGCCUUGCCACCUGGGAAAUCAUCCUUAUUUCCCCUCCCAAGUGGCUCAUCAUCCUCAAACCUUGCCAAGAUCAUGUCACUUCACUCCUUGACCAAACCCUAAUUUCUUUUUCUCAGGAAUAUUCCUUUUUCUAUAAAAAGAAUAACCCUAUCCGCCCUAGGUUGUGAAGCAACCUAUAAUUUUGUCCAUCCAAAAAUUCCCAAAUAAUUCUCAUAAUUUCUUCAGGUCAUAUGUUUCUCAAAUAUGCCCAAACUUUCAUAUCCUAGCCCAAGAAUAAUUCCCCCAUAAUUAUUCUUCAUUUCUGACCAGAGGGGCACUUUGUGAAGGAAGUGCCACCUAUCCUUUCUUGAUUGCUCCCAAAUAUUUUGAGAAUUCUCUUAUGUCCAAAUAAUUGCCUCAUGCCAAAAUUCGACUUUAUUUGCCUAGUCAAUCUUCCUCAGCAAUUUUUUAAACUUUCUGUCAAACAGAAGGCAUUGUGAAGGAAGUACUUGCUAGGAGUUUCAGAAUGAGUUGAAAAUUUUCACACUCCUUCAUGUUCCCAUAUUAUCACACUCAUACAAAUUUCAGACUCAUCCAAUUAUCUAUGUGAGCACAGGAUCAAAUAUUUUCUUUUGGCAAAAUUUUCAGGUUGUGAAGCAAGUGCAUUUUAUAUUGCUUCAAAAAUCCUGAUAAAUUACCAGAUCAUUAUUCUACCUAUACAAAUUCUCUCCACCAAAUUUGGCACCAUUUAACCCAGCCAAUAUUUCUCCAAAAUUCUUGCAAGAGUCUGGUCAGUGAAGAUAGCUGUGAAGGAAGUACCAUUUUGGUGAAUCCAAUUGGUAUGAAAUUGUUACAGCUUCUUACUAUGACCAAAUGGCUAAGCCUUGCCAAAUUUGAGCUCAAUUUGAUGCUACAUGUGAGUGCAUCAUCCAAAUCUUAUUUCUGGACCUAAAAUGCAGUUAUGAAGCAACUAUAUUCAUUACAGGUCCAAAUCCUAUCCAAGUUACCAGGGUGAAAGUCCUUCUUUACCUAAACCUCGCAGACAACUCCUUUGCUCUCAAUCACUUUCCUGUUGAUCACUAGUGCUCAACCAAGUUUACUGCAGUAAACUUCAGAGGGUGAUUACCAUUUAACCAGAGUAGUUUUUAUCGAUCUACCACCGUAGUUGCGACCUACCCUGGAUUAACUUACCCGUAGACAACAAUUUCCAGCCCAUCUCCCCCGCUACAUGUCAGUGCAUGCGGUGACCGUAUUAAUGGCAUCACUGUGCACGCGCUCUGUGUGCAGUGGCCGCGUCCAGUGGUCGUUUGUGCUUCGGCACCGCCUCCUCUCGUCGGCUUCGCGCGUGUGAGCGUGUCCCUUGGCUGUGACUCAUCGUCGCCAUUUCCCUGGACCCCUCUCCCCCUCCGGCAGCUUCCUCACCGACGCUCGUCCAUGGGCGAACAGUGGCGGUUUGGCUCUAUUCGUCGCCGUCUUCUUCCUCCAUGCGCUCCUUUGGCCUUCUCCUCCCCGUGAGCUCUCCCCUGUGCCUCCCUCGUCGCCUGCCUCUGAGCUCAUGCGCGUGCACAUGCAUCCACGGCGCCGGCCACGCGUCCGUGGCGACGACAGCACGGCACGCCCCUCCCCUUGGCUAUUUAAGCAGCCCCGGACGCCCUUGACCUCAACAAGCCACUCCUCGACCUCCCAGGAGCCCGCCCCACUACUCUCCCGAGCUCAAAGAGCUCUCCGCUUCCCUCCAUGGCCGCCAUGGCUGCCUCGGGUCUCCUCCUAAAUUGGCUUGAAGUCGAGCCCCACUCCAUUCCCUCCCUCCACCAGAGCAACUCCCGCAGUCCACCCAAGCCUCUCCACCCUUCUCCUACUCCUCCGGUGGCUUCUGGCCGCGAGCCCCCGCCGGCGCCCGACGCCUCUGUCCGCCACCGCGCAAACCCUACCCGAUCCCAUCCUCUUCGGCGUGCGCCACUGGCUCAGGACGACGCAACUCUCCGCGCUGAGCUCGUCGGUAGGCGGAGCGUCGUCGGAGGCCCUCUGUGGUGCCGGCAAUUGCCGCCCGACGCCGGCGGCCUCCCUCUUCCUCGCGGGCGAGCACGAUGGAGAAGAAGACGACUGAGUCGCCUUGCCAGCUGGCCGUCGGUCCCGCGGACCCCACCUGUCGGCCGCACGUCCGUUGAGCUCACGCAGAUGACGUGGAUAAGUAGAGACGUACUCCUUGUGAAUACGCUUUCCCGUGCCGAAAGUGUCUUCCGCUCCCUCUUCGGGCCGGAGUAUGUUUUCAUCUCCGGAAAACGUAUUACCAUAAACUGCGCUUUCUGUUUUUCUGUCCAGGCCCAGUUUGUAAAGAUUUUUCUUGGAGAUGGGUCCCUGGCAGAAAACACUUCAUAUCUUUUUACUCCCAACUCCAAAUGAGGUGAAUCAAAAGCCCACUUCUUCGUCUCGCCGAGCCCGUGCUGUUGGUCACACUUUCAACAUGUUUUAACAUUCUGGAACUGACCAUUUUGCCCCUGCCCUUAUUCAGCCCCCUCUGAGAGAGAACGUUUUCCGGCGAUUCAUUCCGCGAGCUUCUCGCACUUUCUCCCGGUGAUUUCUUCCACCCUAGGCAAGCCACACCCUCCAUUUGCAUGAUUGCAAUGCAGUGACAUGGUUUAUUUAUUUGAACUUGUUUAAAAUAUUGCAUUAGCUAUGUAUGAUUUGUUCAUGGCAUUUCUCAAAGUAUUGUUUUGAUCUUGAUAUUGCCAUGAUAUUGUUGGAGUUCUAGGACUUAUGUUUGAUGAUUAUGUGGAUGACAUGUGCCUUUGGAUUCUUAGUGGCUAUUAUGAUUAUUUUCAUGAUGGUAUCUGGUAUUAUUUUAGAGUAUUACUUUGGAUAUCAUGUUGCCUUUGGAUUAUUAGUGGCUAGUGUUAUUUUCAUCAUGAUGCUAGAUAAUAUUAUGUUUUGGAGUAUGUGUUGGAGAUGAUGCUUGCAUGUGGAUCAUAGUUGGAUAGUUAGUUCUUGAUAUUUGAGUAGUAGUUUUAUCGUUCUUGGAUUCAUUAGGACAGUAGUGUUAUGCUGUCCUCGGAGUAUUUUGGUAAGAUGAUACUAAGCUUUGGAUUAUUUGUUGGAUAUUGCUAUGACCGGGAUUAUAGUUUGAUAGUUGAUAUCGGAGUAUCAGUUAUCACGGUUAUAUUUUUGGGGAUAAAUUCCGUCAUUAAGUUGGUCAGGUGCCACCGAACCGGGCUUUAUCCAGUGCAACCACAUUUGCCUUUAUGGGAAGGCCCUAAUGCGAUGCUAUUGUCAUGCCUCUCGCCGGUGCCUCCAACGAGGGAAGGUUAUGGGCGCGCGCUACCCUGAUCAGGUAGGCGAACAUAAGCCUUGUGUGCCCAUUGUUGUUGUUAUGUGCACAUGUCCUCGUUUGGGACGGUUUAUUGUUUUCGCCACAACGGUGGCCGUUGGUGUCUUUGGUAGACACUGGCCACCCAGGACUACCCAGUGGGGAGUGAGUCGGAGUGGCCGGGAGAGUGUCAUGGCAGUAGAUCAGUUUUGUUGGAACGCCGUUGGUCCACCCGAAUGGGAGUGCGAGGCCAUGGGUUCCGUGGUGUGGGUACAGUGCGCUACCUCUGCAGAGUGUGUUUCUUUAAACCAUCGAUAGCCGCGUCCUCGGUCAUGGUCAUGGGUUCGUACUAGGUCACACCGUUCGAUCAACACUCACAUGACGGAAUGACUUAUAUGUUGAUAUUUUGAGCAGUACAGAUUGGCAGGAUGUUGAUGAUGAUGUUGGAGACCAAGUGUUGGUCAUGGUAGUGAUCGCCGGAAAGAUCACCGUUUGAGACCAAGUUUUGGUCAUGGUAGUGAUCGUCGGAAAGAUCACUGUUUGAGACCAAGUGUUGGUCAUGGUUGUGAUCGCCGGAAAGAUCACCGUUUGGUUUUGAUCACGAGGUGAUCGAGAUGGUAUAUUGCUUGGCCGGUUUGCCAAGAGAGAUAUGGUUAUGGAGGUCUGAGAUGGUGAUUUAUCAAUAUUGUAUCAGUUUCAUACCAUGCUUGGUAUUUGCUUCAUCAUGGUAGUUGUUAAUUAAUUAACCUGCUAAUGUUAUGUUAUUGUUUUGCCUUGAUGUUUAUGGUUGUUGUGAGCUUGCAAGUACAUUCAAUGUACUGACCUGGCGUGUCAUGCCAGAUUGCAGGUGAUGCCAUGAUUGCUUGAUUGCUUGUCGAGGUUGCCGUGCAUGCGAGCUAGAUCAUGUCCCAGCCAGAGUCCCUGCGGAGUGGAGUUCACCACCUUCGUCGUUGUUCCGCUGCUACGAGUUGUUUUGCUGCUAGCAUAGAGCAAGUGUAGUAUCGCAUGCGUAGUGUCACCGUGCUGAUGUGCUUCUUUGUAACAUUAGACCCUUGUAUUAUUAUUCUUGUAAUAAGAGCUGAUUUGUUCUAUAUCAAGCAGUGUCGUAUUCCAGAGACUUCUCCUCGAUCUCUGGGCUGGAAUACGGGGCGUUCCGGUUUCUCUGAGCUGGGGUGCCACAGCGCUUGGUAUCAGAGCAAAUUUGGCUAUAGGACGCCCUAGUCAGCGUGAGCGGUAGAAACCGGUAGUAAUCGGUAGUUUAAAGUCCGGCUUGUUUAUUGCAUUUGGUUGCUGCAUUUGUUUGUUGCAUACCAUGCAUAUAGCCUUAUUAUUUGUUACUAACGGUUUAUCUGGUGAGUGUAGCUGGUAUCAGCUCGGAUCCACUAUAGCUCAGCCUUUGCAUUUCUCCAGUUUUCUUUUCUUGCUUGUUCUUCGGUGUUGGUGUCAUUUCUGUCCCAGCAGAGUGAUGCCAAGUGAUCUCGACACUGUUUGCAAAGAUGGUGCUCAUGUAUCGCGCCAAAUUCCUUCCUUCAACCCCAUUUUGUUUCGGUGGUAGACAUGCUUCUACCCCGGAUCGUUCUUUUUCUUGUCGUGUUGGCAACCCUUAAUGGUCUUAGUCAUCAAGAAAGGGCAAUGCUAGCAGACUCAGUUUCCCCGCUAUCCUUAUUUCUUGGACGAGUACGGAUAUUUUCCGUUCGUUGAUGAUAAUGUGGUCGCGACAUUCGUGUCCUGCUACAUGGUUACCAUGUACGUCCUCGCCUCCGAGCUAGUCCAGGUUGCUACCUGGCUAAGCUAGCACUUGGUGUAGCGUUGUUUACACCAAUUCUUCCACACAUUUUUUUGUCCUCGUGCACAUCGUCAGAACAUGCUAGAUCGUAGUACCGGAGAUCCCGUGAGAUUUGUGUGCUUAAGUAGGCAUGCAUAUUGUGUGACUAGCAGUAAUAUGCGACCUUGUUUGUGUGUGAAUUGAUUGUUGUGUGCUUUUGUUUAGUUGAGUUUUCUUUUGAUUCUUUCUUUUGGGCCCCGGUGUUACAUUAUUUUCUUCCCCUAUAACGAGUUGCUCAUCAACCAACACCAAACUCGAAGAAGCAACAAGGAGUUUUAUUUGGAAACUCAGCUAAACAGAAUGGAAUUCUCAGCCGACUGCAGUGAAAUGUGAAAAAAAUCUGAUCUUAAGGUUGAUAAUCAGUUUUGCAUUAGUGGGCACUCCACCAGUAUGGAUAAACUCAAGUCUACAUCAGUACAAACUCCACACAGCAGUAAUGAUCCAGCGAGCAGAAAGCCAAGUCAGAUGCAAGACCAGCGGUAUAUUUUUCAGUCAAAGGUAUGGGUCAUAUGCAAAGUUUUGGAUCAGCAAUAAAUGAUACUUUAAAUAUGUUAUACUCCAAGAGAAAGUCAGGAUGUGGUAUGCUCAAGGAAGUCAGUCAAACAAAUUUUCGUAUGCAAAUAAUCAGCCAUAGAAGAUUAUGGACGUGUGUGUAGAUUGCAGUCUGCAUAUUAGUAUGCAGCUUUGGAUGUUAGAAACUCAGUCUUCUUCCACACGUUAUCACAAGAAAUUUAUGAUGCAAGGCUCCUCAAUUUUCCUCAGCAUAAUAUGUGAACAAUGUCCAGUCCAAGAUACCCGGUCUUUCUCAACAAGAUACCUCGGUAAAAGCUUCUGACAGACGGAAAUGAAUUUUUCUCAACAAGCAAACCCGAGGAGAAGCUUCUCAAGUACAUAACUCAAGCUUCUCCAGCACAAUAAUCAGACCAAGCUUCGUGUGUAAGCUAUAGAGCCUUUUCCUGCAUGAUACCCAGACAAAAGAUUUGAGCAUAAGCUAACGAGUCCUCCUCAGCAAGCUACUCAGAUGGCUUCUCUCGUAAGCCACUCAGUCCAUGUUAGUACCACACUAUUACACCGUCCUCAGAGAUUAUAUGAUGAGUUGCCAAUAUAUGGCAGUAUCGCUCAAGAAUCAGACUCGCAACAUUUUUGUCGGAAGCACAAAUCAGUCAAGGCAUAGGUCUUCUUCAGAAAUCAAGUGUCCGAUUACGGAUCUUUUUGCAUAUAUGGUGAACAUGUAUCCCCAGUCAUAUCAUCACUCAUAUGAGAUGCGACAAGGAUCCAACAGAUAUACCUAAGGAAAGUAAGGAUUCAACAACCUCAUGACUCAAGUAAAGGAAAAUAAGUAGAGAUACAUCUCAUGAAUUACAAGGAUACAGAUCUGGGGAUGACAUCACAGAAUCCACGGUCUUGACAAUGGUCAUCAAGACUAUUAUUCCCGCACCAGAGAAGGUGAUAUCAUGAAACCUUGUCACCUUGUUGUAUGCUUGGACUCAGCAACGAGCUCCGUACAGCUACAAACCCCGGGUAUAUGUCAUAUGUGUGCGGACCCAGGUCAGAAAACAGGCACAAGGAAUAAUGUAAAAAAUAUUGCACUAAUCACAUCCAUGGUCAUACAAAGAAUCAAGGACAGGUGUGGCCAAGUUAUUUCAGUAAGAUAUCUUAACCAAGAAAAUCAUGACCGUUAAAGGGUGAGACUGACAGCAAAGGUAUGAUGAUUUUUGCAUGAACAUCAGGGUCUGGAUACCCAAAUCAGUUGGAGGCCGUAAUUCCAUAUGGAGCCACAAAGGCAUACCUUCAGAGGAUUGCUCUGUUCUACAAGGAUUUCAUAUUCCGCUGACCCGCUUGAAAUGGUUACUGCGGAAUAUCCUAGUCUGUUCUGUCAGAUCCAAGAUUUCUUUGCAACCUCAGCGGCAGUGCUAAAACAUACCACAACGUAUUACCAAAGAUGGGUAUACCGACAAAAUGAGAAAGUCAAAAGCCGAAUAAUCAGCUCAGCCCCUGUAUACUCGCCGACGGAAUCAAGAAUACGGUCAGUCUGUCAGGAAAGCAUUUGUUCGUCAGCCCCGUGUCGGGCAAAGUCUCAAGAUGUAAAUAUUUGAGGUAUGACAUAGCUAUAACUCCAUACACCGUUAUAUUGCUCCUGACAAGAGGCACUCAGAUAUUUGGUACAUAUCUCAUGCUCGAGACAAAGAAAUAAAUCAAAAUCAGUACCACCUAUGAGCAGUCCGAUCCCGUCAGAAGAUGGCCAUGAUUAAUUCUAAGCAUUUAUUGAACCCAGAAGGCAUGCAUUUAUUUGAAGCAACCCCAUGACAAAAGUAAAAAGGUUUUCAUGACCAAAGGAAAUUUAUGCUCAGAUUAAUUGGAUAUCACCGCAGAUAUGACAGAAUCAACGUCAGCAAAAGGAAAUUGGUAUAUGAGCAAAAACCCAUCAGAAUUAGGGGAAAGGUGAAGCAAGCCACCCCAAAGCAAGGUAAGUUGAUCAUCUGAAAUUCUUGGGGGGAACAAUAAAUAAAGGAAAAAGGAUACCCUAGUUGGAAACGGUAUCCUCAAGUCAUACUUGUUCCCAGAGCAACUAAAUCUCGAGGACGAGAUUUCUUUAAGGGGGUAAGAAAUGUAACAGCCUGGAUUUUGGCCCUUUCCUUUUUCUUUUGAUUUAUUUAGUUUUUGCUCUGUUUUUCUUUUUGGAGUGGUUCCGUGGCCUUGCCACCUGGGAAAUCAUCCUCAUUUCCCCUCCCAAGUGGAUCAUCAUCCUCAAAACCUUGCCAAGAUCAUGUCACUUCACUCCUUGACCAAACCCUAAUUUCUUUUUCUUAGGAAUGUUCCUUUUUCUAUAAAAGGAAUAACCCUAUCUGCCCUAGGUUGUGAAGCAACCUAUAUUUCUGUCCAUCCAAAAAUUCCCAAAUAAUUCUCAUAAUUUAUUUGGAUCAUAUGUUGCUCAAAUAUGCCCAAACUUUCCUAUCCUAGCACAAGAAUAAUUCCCCAAUAAUUAUUCUUCAUUUCUGACCAGAGGGGCACUUUGUGAAGGAAGUGCCACCUAUCCUUUCCUGAUUGCUCCCAAAUCUUUUGGUAAUUCUCUUAAGUCCAAAUAAUUGCCUCAUGCCAAAAUUCAACUUUGUUUGCCUAGUCAAUCUUCCUCAGCAAUUUUUCAAACUUUCUGUCAAACAGAAGGCAUUGUGAAGGAAUUACUAGCUAGGUGUUUCCAAAUGAGUUGAAACUUUGCACACUCCUUCAUCUUCCCAUAUUAUCACACUCAUCCUAAUUUCAGCCCCAUCCAAUCAUCUAUAUGAGCACAUGAUCAAAUCUUUGCUUCAGGCAAAAUUUUCAGGUUGUGAAGCAAGUGCAUUUAUAUUGCUUCAAAAAUCCUGAUAAAUUACCAGAUCAUUCUCCUACCUAUAUAAAUUCUCCCCACCAAAUUUAGCACCAUUUCACCUAGCCAAUAUUUCUCCAAAAUUCUUGCAAGAUUUUGGUCAGUGAAGAUAGCUGUGAAGGAAGUGCCAUUUUGGUGAAUCCAAUUGGUAUGAAAUUGUUACAGCUUCUUACUAUGACCAAAUGGCUAAGCCUUGCCAAAUUUGAGCUCAAUUUGAUGCUCCAUGUGAGUGCAUCAUCCAAAUCUUAUUUGUGGACCUAAAAUGCAGUUAUGAAGCAACUAUAUUCAUUAAUGGUCCUAAUCCUCUCCAAGUUACCAGGGUGAAAUUCCUUCUUUACCUAAACCUCGCACACAACUCCUUUGCUCUCAAUCACUUUCAUGUUGAUCACCAGUGCUCACCCAAAUUUACUGCAGUAAACUUCAGAGGGUGAUUACCAUUUAACCAGAGCAGUUUUUAUCGAUCUACCACCGUAGUUGCAACCUACCCUGGAUGAACUUACCCGUAGACAACAAUUUCCAGCCCAUCUCCCCCGCUACAUGCCAGUGCACGCGGUGACCGCGUUAAUGGCAUCACUAUGCACGCGCUCUGUGUGCAGUGGCCGCGUGCAGUGGUCGUUUGUGCUUCGGCACCGCCUCCUCUCGUCGUCUUCGCGCGCGUGACCAUGUCCCUUGGCUGCGCCUCAUCGUCGCCAUUUCCCUGGACCCCUCUCCCCCUCCGGCAGCUUCCUCACCGACGCUCGUCCAUGGGCGAACAGUGGCGGUUUGGCUUCGUUCGUCGCCGUCUUCUUCCUCCAUGCGCUCCUUUGGCCUUCUCCUCCCCGUGAGCUCUCCCCUGUGCCUCCCUCGUUGCCUGCCUCUGAGCUCAUGCACGUGCACAUGCGUCCACGCGUCCGCGGCGACGACAGCACGACACACCCCUCCCCUUGGCUAUUUAAGCAUCACCGCGCGCCCUCGACCUCACCAAGCCACUCCUCGACCUUCCAGGACCCCGCCCCACUACUCUCCCGAGCUCAAAGAGCUCUCCGCUUCCCUCCAUGGCCGCCAUGACCACCUCGGGUCUCCUCCUAAAUUGGCUCGAAGCCGAACCCCACUCCACUCCCUCCCUCCACCAGAGCAACUCCCGCAGUCCACCCAAGCCCCUCCGCCCUUCUCCUACUCCUCCGGUGGCUUCUGGCCGCGACCCCACCGGUGCCCAAUGCUUCUGUCCGCCACCGUGCAAACCCUGCCCGACCCCAUCCUCUUCGGCGUGCGCCACUGGUUCAGACCGACGCAGCUCUCCGCGCUGAGCUCGUCGGUAGGCGGAGCGUCGCCGGAGGCCCUCUGUGGCGCCGGCAAUUGCCGCCCGACGCCGGCGGCCUCCCUCUUCCUCGCGGGCGAGCAUGAUGGAGAAGAAGACGACCGAGUCACCUUGCCAGCUGGCCGUAGGCCCCGCGGACCCCACCUAUCAGCCGCACGUCCGUUGACCCCGCGCAGAUGAUGUGGAUAAGUGGAGACGUACUCCUUGUGAGUAUGCUUUCCCUUGUUGAAAGUGUCUUCUGCUUCCUCUUCGGGCCGGAGUACGUUUUCAUCUCUGGAAAACGUAUUACCAUAAACUGCGCUUUCUGUUUUUUUGUCCAGGCCCAGUUUGUAAAGAUUUUUCUUGCAGAUGGGUCCCUGGCAGAAAACACUUCAUAUCUUUUUAUUCCUAACUCCAAAUGAGGUGAAUCCAAAGCCCACUUCUUCGUAUCGUCGAGCCCGUGCUGUUGGUCACAGUUCAACAUGUUUUGACAUUUUGAAAAUGACCAUUUUUCCCCUGCCCUUAUCCAGCCCCCUCCGAGAGAGAACGUUUUUCGGUGAUUCGUUCUGCGAGCUUCUCGCACUUUCUCUCGGUGAUUUCUUCCACCCCAGGAAAGCCACACCCUCCAUUUGCAUGAUUGCAAUGCAGUGACAUGGUUUAUUUAUUUGAACUUGUUUAAAAUAUUGCAUUAGCUAUGUAUGAUUUGUUCAUGGCAUUUCUAGGAGUAUUGUUUUGAUCUUGAUAUUGCCAUGAUAUUGCCUGGAGUUCUAGGACUUAUGUGGAUGACAUGUGCCUUGGAUUCUUAGUGGCUAUUAUGAUUAUUUUCAUGAUGGUAUCUGGUAUUAUUUUGGAGUAUUAUUUUGGAUAUCAUGUUGCCUUUGGAUUAUUAGUGGCUAGUGUUAUUUUCAUCAUGAUGCUAGAUAAUAUUAUGUUUUGGAGUAUGAUGUUGGAGAUGAUGCUUGCAUGUGUAUCAUAUUUGGAUAGUUAGUUCUUGAUAUUUGAGUAGUAGUUUUAUCGUUCUUGGAUUCAUUAGGACAGUAGUGUUAUGUUGUCCUCGGAGUAUUUUGGUAAGAUGAUACUAAGCUUUGGAUUAUUUGUUGGAUAUUGCUAUGACUGGGAUUAUAGUUUGAUAGUUGAUAUCGGAGUAUGAGUUAUCACAGUUAUAUUUUUGGGAAUAAAUUCCGUCGUUAAGUUGGUCAGGUGCCACAAAACCGGACUUUCUCCAGUGCAACCACAUUUGCCUUUAUGGGAAGGGCCUAAUGCGAUGUUAUUGUCACGCCUCUUGCUGGUGCCUCCAAUGAGGGAUGGUUAUGGGCACGCGCUACCCUGAUCAGGUAGGCGGGCAUAAGCCUUGUGUGCCCAUUGUUGUUGUUAUGUGCACAUGUUCCCGUUUGGGACGGUUUAUUGUUUUGGCCACGAUGGUGGCCGUUGGUGUCUUUGGUAGACACGGGGCCACCCAGGACUAGCCCAGUGGGGAGUGAGUCGGAGUGGCCGGGAGAGUGUCAUGGCAGUAGAUCGGUUUUGUCGGAACGCCGUUGGUCCACCCGAAUGGGAGUGCAAGGCCAUGGGUUCCGUGGUGUGGGUAUAGUGCACUACCUCUACAGAGUGUGUUUGUUUAAAGUAUCGAUAGCCGCGUCCUUGGUCAUGGGCAUGGGUUCGUACUAGGUCACACCGUUCGAUCAACACUCAUAUGACAGAAUGACUUAUAUGUUGAUAUUUUGAGCAGUACAGAUUGGCAGGAUGUUGAUGAUGAUGUUGGAGACCAAGUGUUGGUCAUGGUAGUGAUCGCCGGAAAUAUCACUAUUUGAGACCAAGUGUUGGUCAUGGUAGUGAUCACCGGAAAGAUCACCAUUUAAGACCAAGUGUUGGUCAUGGUUGUGAUCGCCGGAAAUAUCACCGUUUGGUUUUGAUCACGAGGUGAUCGAGAUGGUAUAUUGCUUGGCCGGUUUGCCAAGAGAGAUAUGGUUAUGGAGGUCUGAGAUGGUGAUUUAUCAAUAUUGUAUCAGUUUCAUACCAUGCUUAGUAGUUGCUUCAUCAUGGUAGUUGUUAAUUAAUUUACCUGCUAAUGCUAUGUUAUUGUUUUGCCUUGAUGUUUAUGGUUGUUGUGAGCUUGCAAGUACAUUCAAUGUACUGACCUGGCAUGUCAUGCCAGAUUGCAGGUGAUGCCAUGAUUGCUUGAUUGCUUGUCGAGGUUGCCGUGCGUGCGAGCUACACCGUGUCCCAGCCAGAGUCCCUGCGGAGUGGAGUUCACCACCUUCGUUGUCGUUCCACUGCUAGAAGUAUUCCGCUGCUAGCAUAGAGCAAGUGUAGUAUCGCAAGCGUAGUAUCGCCGUGCUGAUGUGCUUCUUUGUAACAUCAGAACCUUGUAUUAUUAUUCUUGUAAUAAGAGCUGAUUUGUUCUAUGUCAAGCAGUGCCGUAUUCCAGAGACUUCUCCUUGAUCUCUGGGCUAGAAUACACGGCGUUCCGGUUUCUCUGAGCCGGGGUGCCACACGAGUAGAACACAAAGGAAUUGUGGGCGUGGGUAUAUACAUAUUGCUUGCCGUCACUAGUUGACUCUUGAUUCAACGACAUUGUUGGAUGAAGCGGCUCAGACCGACAUUACGCGUACGCUUACGCGAGACUGGUUCUACCGACGUGCCUCGCACACAAGUGGCUAGUGGGUGUCUGUUUCUCCAACUUUAGUUGAAUCGGAUUCAAUGAACAUGUUUCUUUCUGAAGAUCAAAAAGCAAUCACUAUACCGCAUUGUGGUUUUUUGAUGCGUAGUUUAGAACGGUUCUUGCUCAGCCCAUAGCAGCCACGUAAAACUUGCAACAACAACAAAGUACAUGACAUCUAACUUGUUUUUGCAGGGCAUGUUGUGAUGUGAUAUGGUCAAGAAAUGAUGCUAAAUUUUAUUGUAUGAGAUGAUCAUAUUUUGUAACACAGUUAUCGGCAACUGGCAGGAGCCAUAUGGUUGUCUCUUUAUUGUAUGAAAUGCAAUCGCCAUGUAAUUGCUUUACUUUAUCACUAAGCUGUAGCAAUAGUCGUGGAGGCAAUAGUUGGCGUGACGACAAUGAUCCUUCGAUGGAGAUCAAGGUGUCAAGCCGGUGACGAUGGUGAUCAUGAUGGUGCUUUGGAGAUGGAGAUCAAAGGCACAAGAUGAUGAUGGCCAUAUCAUAUCACUUAUAUUGAUUGCAUGUGAUGUUUAUCUUUUAUGCAUCUUAUUUUGCUUAGAUUGGCGGUAGCAAUAUAAGAUGAUCUCUCACUAAAUUUCAAGGUAUAAGUGUUCUCCCUGAGUAUGCACCAUUACGAAAGUUCGUCGUGCCGAGACACCACAUGAUGAUCGGGUGUGAUAAGCUCUGCGUUCACAUGCAACGGGUGCAAGCCAGUUUUGCACAUGCAGAAUACUCGGGUUAAACUUGACGAGCCUAGCAUAUGCAGAUAUGGCCUCAGAACACUGUGGACCGAAAGGUCGAGCGUGAAUCAUAUAGUAGAUAUGAUCAACAUAGUGAUGUUCACCAUUGAAAACUACUGCAUCUCACGUGAUGAUCGGACAUGGUUUAGUUGAUGUGGAUCAUGUUAUCACUUAGAUGAUUAGAGGGAUGUCUAUCUAAGUGGGAGUUCUUAAAGCAAUUUGAUUAAUUUAACUCUAAUUUAUCAUGAACUUAGUACCUGAUAGUAUUUUGCAUGUCUAUGUUGUUGUAGAUAGAUGGCCCGUGAUGUUGUUCCAUUGAAUUUUAAUGUGUUCCUUGAGAAAGCAAAGUUGAAAGAUGAUGGUAGCAAUUACACGGACUGGUUCCGUAACUUGAGGAUUAUCCUCAUUGCUGCACAGAAGAAUUACGUCCUGGAAGCACCGCUAGGUAUACCACCCACGCCAGCAACUGCAGACAUUGUGAAUGCCUGGUAGUCACGUGUUGAUGACUACUCAAUAGUUCAGUGUGCCAUGCUUUACGGCUUAGAACCGGGACUUCAACGAUGUUUUGAAUGUCACGGAGCAUAUGAGAUGUUCCAGGAGUUGAAGUUAAUAUUUCAAGCAAAUGCCCAGAUUGAGAGAUAUGAGGUCUCCAAUAAGUACUAUAUGCAAAAUGGAGGAGAAUAGUUCUGUCAGUGAACAUAUACUCAGAAUGUCUGGGUACUGCAAUCACUUGAUUCAACUGGGAGUUAAUCUUCCGGAUGAUAGUGUCAUUGACAUAAUUCUUCAAUCACUGCCACCAAGCUAUAAGAGCUUCGUGAUGAACUAUAAUAUGCAAGGGAUGGAUAAGCCUAUUCCCGAGCUCUUCGCAAUGCUAAAAGUUGCGGAGGUAGAAAUCAAGAAGGAGCAUCAAGUGUUGAUGGUCAACAAGACCGCCAAUUUCAAGAAAAAGGUUAAAGGGAAUAAGGGGAACUUCAAGAAGAAUGACAAGCAAGUUGCUGCUCAAGUGAAGAAACCCAAGUCUGGACCUAAGCUUGAGACUGAGUGCUUCUAUUGUAAAGGGACUGGUCACUGGAAACGGAACUGCCCCAAGUAGGCGGAUAAGAAGGAUGGUGAUAUGUCUCCAACGUAUCUAUAAUUUUUUGAUUGUUCCAUGCUAUUAUAUUAUCUGGUUUGGAUGUUAAUGGGCUUAUUUAUACACUUUUAUAUUAUUUUUGGGACUAACCUACUAACCCAAGGCCUAGUGCAACUUGCUGUUUUUUUGCCUAUUUCAGUGUUUCGCAGAAAAGGAAUACCAAACGGAAUCCAAACGGAAUGAAACCUUUGGGAGAGUUAUUUUUGGAACAAACGUGAUCCGGGGGACUUGGAGUGGACGUCAAGAAACAAACGAGGCGGCCACAAGGCAGGGGGCGCGCCCUCCACCCUCGUGGGCCCUUCGUAGCUCCACCGACCUACUUCUUCCUCCUAUAUAUACCCAUAUACCCCGAAAACAUCAAGGAGCACCACGAAACCCUAUUUCCACCGCCGCAACCUUCUGUACCCAAGAGAUCCCAUCUUGGGGCGUUUUCCGGAGCUCCGCCGGAGGGGGAAUCGAUCACGGAGGGCUUCUACAUAAACACCAUAGCCUCUCCAAUGAUGUGUGAGUAGUUUACCUCAGACCUUCGGGUCCAUAGUUAUUAGCUAGAUGGCUUCUUCUGUCUCUUUGGAUCUCAAUACAAAGUUCUCCUCGAUAUUCUUGGAGAUCUAUUUGAUGUAACUCUUUUUGCGGUGUGUUUGUCGGCAUCCGAUGAAUUGUGGGUUUAUGAUCAAGUUUAUCUAUGAACAAUAUUUGAUUCUUCUUUGAAAUCUUUUAUGUAUGAUUAAGUUAUCUUUGCAAGUCUCUUCGAAUUAUCAGUUUGGUUUGGCCUACUAGAUUGAUCUUUCUUGCAAUGGGAGAAGUGUUUAGCUUUGGGUUCAAUCUUGCGGUGUCCUUUCCAAGUGACAGCAGGGGCAGCAAGGCACGUAUUGUAUUGUUGCCAUCGAGGAUAAAAAGAUGGGGUUUAUAUCAUAUUGCUUGAUUUUAUCCCUACAUCAUGUCAUCUUGCCUAAUGCGUUACUCUGUUCUUAUGAACUUAAUACUCUAGAUGCAUGCUAGAUAGCGGUUGAUGUGUGGAGUAAUAGUAGUAGAUGCAGAAUCGUUUCGGUCUACUUGUCGCGGACAUGAUGCCUAUAUACAUGAUCAUGCCUAGAUAUUCUCAUAAUUAUGCACUCUUCUAUCAAUUGCUCGACAGUAAUUUGUUCACCCAUCGUAAUACUUAUGCUAUCUUGAGAGAAGCCACUAGUGAAACCUAUGGGCCCCGGGUCUAUCUUUUAUCAUAUAAGUUUCCAAUCUAUUUUAUUUUGCAAUCUUUACUUCAAUCUAUAUCAUAAAAAUACCAAAAAUAUUUAUCUUAUUAUUAUUAUCUCUAUCAGAUCUCACUCUCGUAAGUGACCGUGAAGGGAUUGACAACCCCUUUAUCGCGUUGGUUGCGAGGUUCUUAUUUGUUUGUGUAGGUACGAGGGACUUGCGUGUAAUCUCAUACUGGAUUGAUACCUUGGUUCUGAAAAACUGAGGGAAAUACUUACGCUACUUUGCUGCAUCACCCUUUCCUCUUCAAGGGAAAACCAAAGCAGUGCUCAAGAGGUAGCAGAUGGCAAGGUGAACAAAGUUAUAUGUGAUAUACAUAUUAUUGAUGUGUACCUUACUAAUGCUCGCAGUAGCACCUGGGUAUUUGAUACUGGUUCUGUUGCUAAUAUCUACAACUCGAAACAGGGACUACGGAUUAAGAGAAAUUGGCUAAGGACGAGGUGACGAUGCGCGUGGGAAAUGGUUCCAAAGUCGAUGUGAUCGCGGUCGGCAUGCUACCCCUACAUCUACCUUAGGGAUUAGUUUAGACCUAAAUAAUUGUUAUUUGGUGCCAGCGUUGAGCAUGAACAUUAUAUCUGGAUCUUGUUUGAUGGGAGACGGUUAUUCAUUUAAAUCUGAGAAUAACGCUUGUUCUAUUUAUAUGAGUAAUAUCUUUUAUGGUCAUGCACCCUUGAAGAGUGGUCUAUUUUUGAUGAAUCUCGAUAGUAGUGAUACACAUAUUCAUAAUAUUGAAGCCAAAAGAUGCAGAGUUGAUAAUGAUAGUGCAACUUAUUUGUGACACUGCCGUUUAGGUCAUAUUGGUGUAAAGCGCAUGAAGAAACUCCAUUCUGAUGGAAUUUUGGAAUCACUUGAUUAUGAAUCACUUGGUACUUGCGAACCAUGCCUCAUGGGCAAGAUGACUAAAACGCCGUUCUCCGAAAUAAUGGAGCGAGCAACAGAUUUGUUGGAAAUCAUACAUACUGAUGUAUGUGGUCCAAUGAAUAUAGAGGCUCGCGGCGGGUAUCGUUAUUUUCUCACCUUCACAGAUGAUUUGAGCAGAUAUGGGCAUAUCUACUUGAUGAAACAUAAGUCUGAAAACAUUUGAAAAGUUCAAAGAAUAUCAGAGUGGAGUGGAAAAUCAUCGUAACAAGAAAAUAAAGUUUCUACGAUCUGAUCGUGGAGGAGAAUAUUUGAGUUACGAGUUUGGUCUUCAUUUGAAACAAUGCGGAAUAGUUUGGCAACUCACGCCACCCGGAACACCACAACGUAAUGGUGUGUCCGAACGUCGUAAUCGUACUUUACUAGAUAUCACUACAAAAAAAUACACUUCCGUGAUGAUACGUGUUUGUCACAGUAGGUCACGUUUUCUGUCAUGCAUGUACAUCCAUGACAAUUUUAUGACAGAAUCAAUAUAGUCAUACAUGUGCUGUCGUAGAAGUGUUCCAUGACAUUACCAAAAUUAUCAUCACGGAAGUGUCCACUUCCAUGACGAUAAAUCGCGCUUCACAGAAGUGCUUUCGUCAAGGGUGGCCGACACGUGGCAUCUACUGUAACGGAACGCCGUUAAGCUAUCGGGUCCGGUUUUGGAUCCGAUAACCCAUUAACAGCCCCAACCAAUGGGGAUUUUCCACGUGUAAAAUCAUCAUUGGCUGGAGGAAACACGUGUCGGCUCACUGUUGGGACAGAUGUCAUCCACUCAUUGGACCCAAAGCACCUAUGAUACGUCGACACGUGGCACGGCCCAACAGAGGCCCAUUCCUGUGAAAAGGCCAGCUUGUUUGACUCGGUGAAAAGGUGGCGGGCCGACCCACGACAAGCCUGUUAACGGCCUGUUCGCAUAAAGCCCAUUUAUAGCCCGCUAACCUAGGGCCCGUUUACGGCCUAUCGGAAUUAGGCCCAGUAUCGUCAUCUGGGCCGUCCAAUAUAAUUCCAGCCUAUUUUAACUUUCGGCCCAUGUAUGGCCCAUGGCGUCUUUUGGCCCAUAUGAGGCCCUUAGUAACUCUCGACCCAUUAACGGCCCGUGGUACAACUGGCCCGUAAUGAACAGUGUAUCACUUUAUACCCAUUAACGACAUGUGGUGAAACUGGCCCGUAAUGAACAGUGUAUCACUUUAUACCCAGUAACGACCCAUUAUUCCGUUGGGCCGUUUCCAGCCCAUGUUAUCUUUCGGCCUUCUCAGGGCCCAUUUAUUCUUGGGCUCAUUUCCAGCAUUCGUUUACUUACGGCUCGUUACUGUCAUUUUCUACUUGUGGGCGAAAUUCAACCCGUGGUUACAGUCGGCCCGUUUGUGGCCCGUUAAUACGUUGGGCCAUUUUCAUAGCGUCAUCAAAUACGGUCGAUUAACGACGGCCCAUUAUGGUUGGUGAGGGAGUCCUGGAUUAGGGGGUCUCCGGACAACCGGACUAUCUCCAUUGGCCGGAUUGUUAGACUAUGAAGAUACAAGAUUGAAGACUUCGUCUUGUGUCCGGAUGGGACUCUACUUGGCGUGGAAGGCAAGCUAGGCAAUACAGAUAUGGAUAUCUCCUCCUUUGUAACCGACCUUGUGUAACCCUAACCCUCUCCGGUGUCUAUAUAAACCGAAGGGUUUUAGUCCGUAGGACAACAAUCAUAACAUACAAUCAUACCAUAGGCUAGCUUCUAGGGUUUAGCCUCUCUGAUCUCGUGGUAGAUCUACUCUUGUACUACCCAUAUCAUCAAUAUUAAUCAAGCAGGACGUAGGGUUUUACCUCCAUCAAGAGGGCCCGAACCUGGGUAAAACAUCGUGUCCCCUGCCUCCUGUUACCAUCUGGCCUAGACGCACAGUUCGGGACCCCCUACCCGAGAUCCGCCGGUUUUGACACCGACAUUGGUGCUUUCGUUGAGAGUUCCUCUGUGUCGUCGCCGUUAGGCUUGAUGGCUCCUACUAUCAUCGAUAGCAAUGCGGUCCAGGGCGAGACUUUUCUCCCCGGACAGAUCUUCGUAUUCGGCGGCUUUGCACUGCGGGGUAAUUCGCUUGGCCAUCUAGAGCAGAUUGAAAGCUACGCCCCUGGCCAUCAGGUCAGAUUUGGAAGUUUGAACUACACGGACGACAUCCGCGGAGACUUGAUCUUCGACUGGUUCGAGCAACAGCCGGGCGCGCCGCACUGUCGCGAUGGGUAUGACCUAGCUCUGCCGCCGAAUAGUACCCCAAUGGCUGCGCCCGCAUCAGCUCCGACCCUUAGCUCGGAGCCAACUGCGCCAGUCGAGGACGGGUGGUUAGACAUCGCCUCAGGGGCUACAGUCUCAAUGGUGAUCGAGCCAAACACCAGCAUAAUCCUGUGCGCAGCCCGUGACUCCAAGGUGCCGGACUCUUCUUUUGACUCCGAACCAUCCAUGCCCCUGGCAAUCGAAUCCAAUUGGGCGCCGAUCAUGGAAUUCACCGCCGCGGAUAUCUUUCAACACUCGCCCUUCGGCGACAUUCUGAAUUCACUAAGGUCUCUCUCUUUGUCAGGAGAGCCCUGGCUGGAUUAUGGCCAAGAGGAUUGGGAUGCGGACAACGAAGAAAUUUGACGCCCACCCACCACCCACUUCAUAGCCACUGUCGAUGAUUUAAUCGACAUGCUCGACUUCGACUCCAAAGACAUCGACAGUAUGGACGACGAUGUAGGAUACGAACAUGAAUCAGCACCUAUAGGGCACUGGAAGGCCACCUCGUCAUAUGCCAUAUACAUGGUGGAUACACCCAACGAAGGCAAUGGCGACGAGAUAGCGGAGGAUGACCCCUCCAAGAAGCAACCCAAGCGCCAACGUCAGCGGCGCCGCUCUAAGUCCCGCCAAAGCAAAAGUGGUGAUACCGACACAGGAGAUAAUAACACCCCGGAUAGUGCCGAAGACAACAACAAUCCCCUCCAGCAAGAUUUAGAGCAGGAGGAUGAAGGAGCCAGCUCUCCUGAGAGAGCGGCAGACGGAGAGGAGGAGGAUGAUCACAUGCCCCCCUCUGAAGACGAGGCUAGCCUCGGCGACGAUGAAUUCGCCGUACCAGAGGAUCCCGUCGAACAAGAGCGCUUCAAGCGCUGGCUUAUGGCCACGGCAAAUAGCCUGAAGAAAAAGCAGCAGCAGCUUCAAGCUGAUCAAGAUCUGCUAGCUGACAAAUGGACUGAAGUCCUUGCGGCCGAGGAAUAUAAACUCGAGCGUCCCUCCAAGAGUUACCCAAGGCGCAGGUUACUACCCCGACUGGAGGAAGAAGCGUAUGAUACGGCUGAUCGGCCACCUCGUGGCCGCGAUAGAGAGGCAUUCCAGCCAAAAGCUUAGCCUCCACCCCAACGCCAUUCAAAUAAAAAGGCAUGGGGAGAUACGCCAGACCCGCGAGACAUAUUGGAGGACAAGGCAAAGAAUUCAAGAUCGAUCGACAGAUCACGAGGGUGCACCACUCCGCGAGACGAAAAAUGUCACGCCGGAUACAGUAAAAGCAAAUCUGGCCGGGCCGAACACAGCGGGCAAGACCCAUUAGAGCUGCGUCGCGAUAUAGCCCAAUACAGAGGCGCCGCACACCCCUUAUGCUUCACAGACGAAGUAAUGGAACAUCAAUUUCCAGAAGGUUUCAAACCUGUAAAUAUUGAAUCAUACGACGGCACAACAAAUCCCGCAGUAUGGAUUGAGGAUUUCCUCCUCCACAUCCAACAUGGCUCGCGGAGAUGACUUACACGCCAUCAAAUACCUCCCACUAAAGCUCAAAGGACCAGUGCGGCAUUGGCUUAACAGCUUGCCAGCGGAUUCCAUUAGCUGUUGGGAAGAUCUGGAGGCCGCAUUCCUCGACAACUUUCAGGGCACUUAUGUGCGACCACCAGACGCCGAUGAUUUAAGCCACAUAAUUCAGCAGCCAGAAGAGUCGGCCAAGCAAUUCUAGACUCGGUUCCUUACAAAGAAAAAUCAAAUCAUCGACUGUCCGGAUGCGGAGGCCUUAGCGGCUUUCAAGCACAACAUCCGAGACAAGUGGCUAGCCCGGCACCUUGGUCAGGAAAAGCCGAAAUCUAUGGCAGCUCUCACGACGCUCAUGACCCGCUUUUGUGCGCGAGAAGACAGCUGGCUGCUCACAGUAAUAACAUAUCAAAGAACCAUGGUACCUCAGAUACCAAGGACGGCAAUAGUAGGUCACGUCGCAACAAGCAUAAGCGCCACAUUAACAGCGAAAAUACCGAGGAUACGGUCAAUGCCGGAUUCAAAGGCUCUAAACCCGGUCAGCGGAAAAAGCCAUUCAAACAAAGAACGCCGGGUCCGUCCAGCUUGGACCGUAUACUCGAUCGCUCGUGUCAAAUACACGGCACCCCAGACAAGCCAGCCAAUCACACCAACAGGUAUUGUUGGGUGUUCAAGCAGGCCAGCAAGUUAAUUGCCGAAAACAAGGACAAGGGGCCACAUAGCGAUGAUGAGGAGGAGCCCCGGCAGCCGCACACUAGAGGACGGAAGAGGUUUCCCCCGCAAGUGUGGACGGUGAACAUGAUAUACGCAACCCACAUCCCCAAGAGGGAGCGGAAGCGUGCGCUCAGGGACGUAUAUGCGUUGGAGCCAGUCGCCCCAAAGUUCAACCCUUGGUCCUCCUGUCCGAUCACCUUCGAUCACAGGGACCACCCACUAGUAUCCGUCAUGGCGGAUUCGCCGCACUGGUCCUAGACCCAAUCAUCGACGGAUUUCACCUCACUCGAGUCCUUAUGGACGGCGGCAGCAGCCUGAACCUGCUUUAUCAGGACACAGUGUGCAAAAUGGGUAUAGACCCCUCAAGGAUAAAACCCGCAAAAACGACCUUUAUGGGCGUCAUUCCAGGCGUAGAGGCCCAUUGCACAGGCUCAAUUACAAUGGAACUGGUCUAAGGAUCCCUGGAUAACUUCCGAAGCGAAGAGUUAAUCUUCGAUAUAGUCCCGUUCCGCAGUGGUUAUCACGCGCUGCUCGGGCGAACCGCAUUUGCUAGAUUGAAUGCGGUACCGCAUUAUGCAUACCUCAAGCUCAAGAUGCCAGGACCUCACGGAGUUAUUAUAGUCAAUGGAAGCACAGAGCGCUCUCUCCGAACAAAGGAGCACACCGCGGCCCUCGCAGCAGAAGCGCAAAGCAGCCUCUCAAGGCAAUCGACCAGUUCGGCGUUUCAAAGCCCGGACACCUUCAAGCGCGCUCGGGGAAAUCGGCAAAUAGACCGCCUGACGCGAUCUGAGCUCGUGUAGCAAUACGACGGCCAACCCAAUACUAGCCCCGCACAUAACGCGAGGCAGUUUCUUGACACGUCUUGUCAAAGCAGAGAUCGUGUCCCCCUUAUUACGGGAUUCUCAUCAAUAUGGUCAUGGGUAACCCAACCACGCCUAGGACUCCUAGAUUUGAGGCAAGUCCCAAACGGCCAUGAGGAGGACGCUUGGUAUUCACCCUCUUUAUAAAGGGUCAAGGCUUUUACUUUUUUCCUCCCAUGAUCAAUUGAAUCCCUCCCCCGCCUCGAGUUCUAACACUCAAAGCCUAGGUCAGGUGCUUCGGAUCUUCAAUCAUAUCCGGAUCCAGCCUCCAGGGCCGGUGGAUGCCCUCCUCCAUCACGGAAGAGGAUAUCAAGAAGUUGAGGGAGGCAAGAUACCUGACCGCCGAAGUCUCACAUCGGCUGCCCGCCCGAGGGUAGGUUGUCCCUACUCCUGAACCCAAUGAAGACAUCGUGUUCAUCUCCCACUUCCUCCGAGGACUAGGCCUCACUCUGGAUCUCUUCGUAAGGGGUUUGAUGUUCUAUUACGGGCUUGAUUUGCACGAUCUAGCCCUGGAUUCCUUUCUCCACAUCUCGGCAUUUAUUGUCGUAUGUGAGGCCUUCCUCCGCAUUACCCCUCACUUCGGCGUGUGGCUCAAGACCUUUGAUGUGAAGCUGAAGACGGUCGAAUGGAAGUAUGCAGCGUGCGGGGGUGUAUUAAUAAGCAAGAUUGCCGGAGCUCCGUGGCCAAAAGGUUCCUUUCCAGAGGUGUCCGGAUUAUGGCAACGGGAGUGGUUCUACAUCACCGCUCCCAGAAGUGCCAAGUGGGUAGCUUCCCCCGCCUUUCGCUCGGGCCCUCCACCACAACUGAUGUCAUGGAUCAGCAGGGGGCUAAGCUGGGGUCCAGCCAAGGAUGUGCCCAUACAUGCAGAGCCGCAUCCGGGAUCUCUUCGAGGGAGAUUUUAGUUUAGUUAUGGUAGUGCAAGUCAUGCUGGUUCGUCAAGUCCAGCCUUGCAAACGCCGACCCCUCCGCUUGUGGGAAUUCCACCCAGAAGGACCGCACACUAUUCAAAAUUUCCUCGGCCUAACGCACGAGGAGAUGUACAAGUCGUUCUUCAGACCCCAAAUAGAGUGUCCGGACACCUCCGAGGACGUGGGCCUGAGCAGCAACCGCACCGCGGCCCAAGUAAGUAAUCCUCUAGCCGAACAAACUGUCUUUCAUUUAUCAUGACGUCUUUCUGAAGAAUCGCUUUUUGACCAGGACUGGAUAAUAAAGGCGAAGAUGAUCCGGUGUCGGCCCCCCUUCCUGAAGGCUUGGACAAUCCGGUGCUGGAAAAGAUGCUCGAGCCAGCACCUUGCCUGGUGCCCUCAAAGGAAGAUGAAGGAGGGAAUAAAGAGGGCGAAAGCGGGCCCCCACCGCUACCUGUUCCAACCGAGGGAACGAGCGCCUCCGUGAGGGAGGAUAACCAAGGGAAGGAAUCUGACAUUCCUUCGCCCCGGGGGAGAAAGAGGACCACCUCUGAUGACCCGGAAACCAAGGUUUCCAAACGGGAGAAGAAAACUCCACCAGAGGGUCCCGCCUUGGAGGGUGCUCUUGCUGCACAAAGUCCAUGCAAGGAUCAGCCCUCUAACGAGCUAUAAGUAAUCAAAAAUUACUUUAAUAGUGAAGAUAUAUUACCUUACUUCUGAGGAAGAUAACCGAAGCAUCUAUCUUGCAGUUCGGAUCUGAGCCCUUCUCAGCAGAGCUCAUCUUCAGGGGAUCUUCUUCCGGAGAUGAUGGAGACCGAAACGCCUCCCCCGGAUUCCCUGGCUCAAGAAGCGGGCGACCUUGAAGUGUCAUCGUGGAGAGUUUCUCCGGAUCCAGCAAGGCCAGAAGGUAAUCCCAUGGUCACUCGAAGCCCUCAGUAUCCGGCUCUUGAAGAGAGCAAUCAAAAGAGUCCGGCACCAUCUGGUAUGCGGUCGGACGUACUGAAGGGUCUGCUAGAGCGAGCGACUAUCUCAAAAGAGCACCGUACAUUAAUGUGUACGGUGAUUGAAAGGAUUUCGUCCGCCGAAAACGGGUUGCAUGAAGCCUUUAUGAGUCUACUGACAGGCUUUGAGGUACAUGAAAUGAUAUAAAUUUGUGAUGGUACCGCGUAUUUUAGGUGUGCCCUAUGUAGAUAGUAGCCCCUGAGACUCUGGUUGUCAUCGAGAACGGCGACGAACAGAGGAUCGUAGUCCUAGGUAAUAACCAGACCGCCUUUAUGUGUAGGUGUCUGAAGCUCUGGUGGCUAGCCGGACUGAUGGGGUUGCCGAACUAAAACGGCGACUGGAUGCGGCGGAUGCCGACAUCGAGCUUGUUAACAAGCGGCUUGACGAGGCAUAGGGUAGGUGAUAUUUAUAGUGAAUGUCACAUAGUAAGAGCAGCGUGAUGCCGGUAUCUUUAAUAUGUUGUGACUACAGAUGGAGCUACCACCAUGGAGGCCCUGCGGGCGGAGCUUGCCCGAGCCAAGGAGCAAGCAAGGAGUAGUAAUGCGGCCGCUUUGAAGGCGGCCGAAGAGUUGAAAGCCGAGAAGGCCGCUCAUAGCGAGAGCAAAGAGAAAAUGUCCAAAUUGGCUGUGAAGUUAAAAGACACUGCCGACCGCUGUCAGUUUCUUGAAGAAGAAAACUGGGCGAAGGCUACGGACCUUGAAAAGGCCACAAUGGCGACCAAAGACACCCGCUCUGCAAUGAGAGCGAAGAAGGAGGAACUGUGUGAAGCCGGGGACAUUGUGGCUGGGAAGCCCUUUAUGCUGCGGAGGAAGUUCGGCGAUCCGCGAUAUGCCCCUCUGGAUCGGCUGUGGAGUUCGGCCGACGCAUAUCUGGACUUAGCGGCAAGCGCUGUCGAUGGGGCCGAAUACUUCCGAGAUCAGACAGAUCGUGAAGUGGACAAGCUGUUCUGGUCGCAAUUUAACGUUCCAGAGCAUCCGCUUCCAUUGACUGAUCAGCUUACCGAAUGGGACGAACUCAAUAGAUUGUCUGGACUCGCCAUGAGGUCUGUCCUGGAUCAUCUGUGGCCGGAAAGGCCAAAGCCGAACAACUAUUUUAGCUUGGUGCAGCGGUUCCUUGGUGCGGUGCCGCGCAUUAAUGCGAUGAAGAGGUCAGCGUGCAUAGAAGGCUCGCGGAUGGCCCUUGCCUGUGUCAAAACAUACUGGGUGGAGAUGGAUGCCACCACUGUCGCGGCGCAGGGUUCGGCCAUAGGCCGAGUGGCUGCCAAGCACUAUUUUGAAGAAGUUCUUGAGGGCGCUCGUAUGAUAGAGGCCCAGUGCUCGAAGAAUGUUAUGUUUGAGUGGCAUGUAUUCCCAUUGUAAAGACAACGUUUUAUUGAAUUUAUCAAGGUUGUAUUUAUACUUUUGCCCGAAAGUAUUGUGAUGCCUCCUGUGCGGCCGUUUUAUGUAUACAUGUAUAUAACCUGAAAGAUUGCAGUCGUCGGCUUCAGCCCCCAUGCAUAUAAUGCGGGGGUGUUCGCAGAAGACGUGUAUUCACACUUGAUCCAACGUCUUGGUCCUAAUAAGGAGGUGAUAGCGCAGUGAACUAGGCAACCGGACUAUAAUGCUUUAACACUUUCACUUAGCCAUAGGAGUUUGACAGUGGGGCUACUAUAUAGCCCCUGGUGGCUUCGCACUCAUCCGGAUUCAGGGUGCGUACAUGCCUAGCCGGGAAACGACCCUUCGUUAAUGCGGAGGAAUCCCGAAGAUUCCAAUAGGUCAUCGAGUGGUUGACCAGUCUCACGCUAUAUCAUGACAGUCAGUUUUCGGCUUUCUCUACUGAGGUGCUUGUCCGGAUGAACCAGGGCACAAUCGCAGUAGUUCUCCUGGUGCCGCCUUAGCCGAUAGAGCGGAACAUAAGGCAGCAAAACACAGGAGCCGGGCAAACCCAACAUUUAACCAAAGACAUGAUUCGGAGCUGAUGCAUAUAAGGCCAAACUCGCGACGCCGAACACUCCCUAAGGUAUUCGGUCUUUAUGGUGUAAACCGGGUCUAAAUAGUACCCUUUGUAAUAAGCCCCUGGUGUCCAGGUACAUGCAUUAUUCUGGCGUGGCCACAUGCCAAGACAUCAGCAUCCUUCUCGGUUGUACUAAGAAUCCGAGGGAUGUAAAUCAACAACAGACAGUAAAAAGGUUUACGCAGGGUCUUAAUCUACAAAGAAUCCUUGGAACGGGUCCCUGCUGCACGUGUGCACCUGUGUCUCCGUUGUGCCGUAUCCUGGAUGGGUGUAGCACGAUGGUCAUCUGAAAAAGAGAGGAACUUAAUUGAAAAGUUGCCGUGCAAAAGUUAAGUUAUACUAAAUAAACAAUAUAUAGUUGAAAAUGAGUAAAAGUGAGCCUUAUUACCACUUUUGCACGCGCGUUGAGCCCCUUGUAUUGUAAUAGGGGUAUAGCCAUCAAACCUGUAUUAAUUACAUAUAGCUGAGCCGGACUCGUCUAGCCGUGUCCGUGGUCUUAACGACCUGUCAAAUGCUUGAGUUAGUGAGGCCGUUUAGUGUGCGGCGGCCAAGGCGGUCGCACCGUCUUCGGCGUGCAAGGAGCGCUCAAUAUUUCCAUUUACUGUAAUGAUGCCGCAUGGACCGGGCAUCUUGAGCUUGAGGGAAGCGUAAUGCGGUAUUGCGUUAAAGCGAGCGAAAGCUUCGCGUCCGAGUAGUGCUUGAUAGCCACUUUGGAAUGGAGCGACGUGGAAAGUUAAAUUUUCGCUGCAGAGGUUGUCGGGGAAGCCGAAUAUAACCUCUAGUAGCAGGGAGCCCCUGCAGUGAGCCUUCGGGCCUGGAGUUACUCCUUUAAAGGUAGCAUUGCUGCGGCAAAUUUUUGUUGGGUCUAUCCCCAUUUUGCGGACUGUGUCUUGAUAUAUCAGAUUCAAACUGCUGUCGCCGUCCAUCAGGACUCGGGUGAAGUGGUAUCCAUCAAUUAUUGGAUCUAAUACCAAGGCAGCCCAUCCUGCACGCCGGAUACUUGCCGAGUAAUCUCGAUGGUCGAAGGUGAACGGUUGGGACGACCAGUGGCAGAGCUCCGCGGUGAUAGGCCCUGGGGCAUGUUCCUCUAAAGGUGCCGCUUUGUCUCUCCCUUUUAUCACAUGUAACACGUUGACUGUUUUGACUUUUGGUGGGAAUUUCUUUUGUUCCCCUAUGCUUUGCUUGCGAGGCUCGUCCUCGUCUUCACUUGGUGUAUCCUGCCCCUUGUGUUCGGCGUUGAGCUUGCCGGACUGUUUGAAGACCCAACAUUCUUUGUGGGUACGAUUUGCAGGUUUAUCAGGGGUGCUAUGGAUCUGACAUAUUUGGUCCAAAAUUUUGUUUAGGCUGGACAAUUCGUCUCUGUUGCCUUUGGAGGGCGGCUUCUGCUGCCCUGGCCGAGAGCUUCUAAAUCCGACGUUUACCGCCGUGCUCUUCGAGCUAUCUUCUUUAUUCCGGCGCUUAUUCUUGCUGCGUCAUGAUUUCCCGUUCCCAUCCCUGACUUCGGAUGUACUUGGGUCGCUGGUGCUGCAUCGGGCUAACCAGCUAUCCUCGCCCGCGCAAAAACGGGUCAUGAGGCUUGUUAAUGCUGCCAUUGUUCUCGGCUUUUCUUGACCGAGGUGUCUGGCAAGCCACUCAUCUCGAACGCUAUGCUUGAAGGCUGCUAAGGCUUUGGCGUCCGGACAGUCGACUAUUUGGUUCUUUUUAGUGAGGAACCUGUUCCAAAGUUUUCGGGCUGACUCACCGGGCUGUUGAGUUAUAUGACUUAGAUCGUCUGCAUCCGGUGGUCGGACAUAUGUCCCUUGAAAAUUUGCCUGAAAGGCAUCUUCGAGCUCUUCCCAGCUUCCGAUGGAGUUUUCGGGGAGGCUUUUAAGCCAGUGCCAAGCUGGCCCUUUGAGCUUGAGGGGUAAGUACUUGAUGGCGUGGAGAUCAUCUCCUCGAGCCAUAUGGAUAUGGAGGAUGUAGUCCUCAGUUCAGACCCCAGGGUCUGUUGUUCCAUCGUACGCCUCUAUGUUUACGGGUUUGAAUCCCUCUGGAAAUUCAUGAUCCAGCACCUUGUCGGUGAAACAUAGAGGGUGUGCGGCACCCCUGUAUUUGGGUGUACCGUGGUGUUCGGAUGUUUGUUGUGUUGCAUUGUAUGUUGGAGCGCGCCUGCAUGGUCCAUAGAUGGAUCUGGUUGCGCCGUCCUUUUGAUGUGAGCCCUUACGCGGAUCGCGUACUAGUUUAUGUGCGGCGUCGAUUGCCGCUUUGUGUUGGCUAUGAGGUCGUCUAUCCGACCGGAUGGCUGUUUUAUUUUUUAAUUGUGGAGGAUCUAAGGCCUCCUCCUCAAAUUCAGGUAGCACCUUUCGCUUUGGAUAUCUCUUGGUGUGGCGAUUACUGUCGUAUUUUGCUGCAGUGUUGAGUACUUCACUCCAUUUGAUUUUGAGUGUGUCUUGUGCAGCCUUGAGCCUUUGCUUCUGUUUUUUCAGACUCCUCGCCGUGGCAACAAGCCUUUGGUGGGCAUUAAGUUGCUCCUGGCGCCUGUCCGGUGUGAUGUCGUCCGGACUGUUAUCUUCGACGGGGUUGGGUUGUUCGGCUUGAUUUUCCGUGUUGCCGUGGUCGGGCAAUGGUUCACCCUGCUCUAACGCUGGGUCUAUGUGAUCGUUAUUUCUACCAAGGCGGGAUUUGGAGCGGCGUUUACGUUGCCGCUUUGACUGCUUCUCGAGGGAACAACCCUUCGCUGCGUCCUUCCAUUCCUCAUAGUUAUUUUCUUUAGGUGUGUCCACCAUGUAUACAUCAUGUGAUGAAGUGGGCGUCCAGUGCCCUGUGGGCAGUGGUUCCUCUUCGCCUCCCGCAUCAUUGUCCAUACCGUCGAUGGCUUCGGAGUCGAAGCCGAGCAUGUCGGUUAAGUCAUCGACAGUGGCUACUAAGUGGAUGGUGGGUGGGCGGCGAAUUUCUUCAUCAUCCGCAUCCCAAUCCUGCCGGACGUAGUUCGGUCAGGACUCUCCUGACAAGGAGAGAGACCUUAAUGAGUUCAGUAUGUCGCCAAAGGGCGAGUGCUGAAAAAUAUCCACGGAGGUAAACUCCAUGAUCGGCGCCCAAUCGGAUUCGACAGGAACGGGCGCAGGCGGUUCGGAGUCCGUGUCCAGAGAAGGAUCCAGCAGUUUGGCAACACGGCUCUCGUGAAUGGUAAGGUCGAUAUUCGGCUCGAUCGCUGCAAAGGAUACAACCUCCGUGGCGGGGUCUAUCCACCCAUCCACGGAUGGCGAAACUGGCUCCGAAUUGAGGGUCGGAGCGGCUGCCGAUGCGAUUUCUCGAACACUAUCCGAUGGUAGAGCUAAAUCGUACUCAUCGUGACCGCGCGGCGCACAAGGCAGGGGCUCGAAUCCGUCGAAGAUCAAGUCUCCGCGGAUAUCGACCGUGUAGUUUAAGCUUCCAAACCUGACCUGGUGGCCAGGGGCGUAACUUUCGAUCUGCUCCAGAUGGCCAAGCGAGUUGGCCCACAGUGCGAACCCGCCGAACACAAAGAUCUGUCUGGGGAGAAAAGUCUCACCCUAGGUUGCAUCGCUAUCGAUGAUCGUAGGAGCCAUCAAGCCUAAUGGCAAUGACACAGAGGAACUCUCAAUGAAAGCACCAAUGUCGGUGUCAAAACCGGCGGAUCUCGGGUAGGGGGUCCCAAACUGUGCGUCUAAGGCAGAUGGUAACAGGAGGCAGGGGACACAAUGUUUUACCCAGGUUCGGGCCCUCUUGAUGGAGGUAAAACCCUACGUCCUGCUUGAUUUAUUCUUGAUGAUAUGAGUAUUACAAGAGUUGAUCUACCGCGAGAUCGGAGAGGCUAAACCCUAGAAGCUAGCCUAUGGUAUGAUUGUAUGUUGUCCUAUGGACUAAAGCCCUCCGAUUUAUAUAGACAGCAGAGGGGGCUAGGAUUACACAAGGUCGGUUACAAAGGAGGAGAUAUACAUAUCCGUAUUGCCUAACUUGCCUUCCAUGCCAAGUAGAGUCCCAUCCGGACACGAGACGAAGUCUUCAAUCUUGUAUCUUCAUAGUCCAACAGUCCGGCCAAAGGAUAUAGUCCGGCUGUCCGGAGACCCCCUAAUCCAGGACUCCCUCACUGGGGCUAAAGAUAAACAUAGACCUGUGGUAGGCAUGCAUGUUAUUUCUGUUAAAAUAGGAGACAUUGUUAUCAUGGCUUGUGUGAUAUGGGUGUUAGUGCUAGUGCAAUACCUAUUUCUCCAUAUCAAGAAAUUAUGCAUGAUAUUGCACCCGCUGAGAUAGAAGAUAUCAAUGUUACCAUUAAGCUUGCUAAUAGAGAUACUAUUUCACCAAUUGGGAUUGUUAGAGACGUUGAAGUCUUGUGUGGGAAGGCUAAAUAUCCUGCUGAUUUCCUUGUUCUUGGUUCCCCACAAGAUAGCUUUUGUCCCAUUAUAUUUGUUAGACCCUUCUUGAAUACUGUUAAUGCUAAGACAGAUUGCAAUAAGGAUGUUGUUACUAUUGGUUUGGAUGAUAUGUCUCAUGAGUUUAAUUUUUCUAAAUUUCGUAGACAACCCCGUGAUGAAGAAUUGCCUAGUAAAGAUGAAAUAAUUGGUCUUGCUUCUAUUGUUGUGCCUUCUAAUAAUCCUUUAGAACAAUAUUCGCUAGACCAUGAGAAUGAUAUGUUUAUGAAUGAAAUAAGGGAAAUAGAUGAAGUAUUCUUUAAACACAGACCCAUUCUGAAACACAAUUUGCCUGUUGAAAUCCUAGGGGAUCCCCCUCCACCCAAGGGUGAUCCUGUGUUUGAGCUUAAACCAUUGCCUGAUACUCUUAAAUAUGCUUAUCUUGAUGAGAAGAAGAUAUAUCCUGUUAUUAUUAGUCCUAACCUUUCAAAGAAGGAGGAAGAAAGAUUAUUGAAAACUCCGAAGAAGCACCGUGCUGCUAUUGGAUAUACUCUUGAUGAUCGUAAGGGCAUUAGUCGCACCCUAUGUCAACACAAAAUAAAUUUGGAGAAAGACGCCAAACCAGUUAUUGAUCAUCAACGACGGCUGAAUCCUAAGAUGAAAGAAGUGGUAAGAAAAGAAAUACUAAAACUCCUUGAGGCAGGUAUAAUCUAUCCCAUUGCUGAUAGUCAGUGGGUAAGUCAUGUCCAUUAUGUCCCUAAGAAGGGAGGUAUUACUGUUGUUCCUAAUGAUAAAGAUGAAUUGAUUCCUCAAAGAAUUAUUACAGGUCAUAGGAUGGUCAUUGAUUUCCGCAAGUUAAAUAAGGCUACUAAAAAAAGAUCAUUACCAUUUGCCUUUUAUUGAUCAAAUGCUAGAAAGAUUAUCCAAACAUACACAUUUUUGCUUUCUAGAUGGUUACUCUGGUUUCUCUGAAAUACCUGUGUUAGCUGAGGAUCAAGAAAAGACCACUUUUACUUGCCAUUUCAGUACUUUUGCUUAUAGACGUAUGCCUUUUGGUUUAUGUAAUGCACCUGCUACCUUUCAAAGAUGUAUGAUGGCUAUAUUCUUUGACUUUUCUAAAAAGAUUUGCGAGGUAUUCAUGGAUGAUUUCUCCAUUUAUGGAUCCUCUUUUGAUGAUUGCUUGAGCAACAUUGAUCGAGUUUUGCAGAGAUGUGAAGAAACUAAUCUUGUUCUGAAUUGGGAGAAAUGCCACUUUAUGGUUAAUGAAGGCAUUGUCUUGGGGCAUAAAAUUUCUGAAAGAGGUAUUGAAGUGGAUAAAGCCAAAGUUGAUGCUAUUGAAAAGAUGUCGUAUCCCAAGGACAUCAAAGGUAUAAGAAGUUUCCUUGGUCAUGUCGGUUCUCAUAAGAGGUUCAUUAAGGACUUCUCAAAAAAUUCUCGGCCUCUGACUAAUCUAUUACAAAAAGAUAUUCCUUUUGUCUUUGAUGAUGAUUGUGUAGAAGCAUUUGAAAUACUUAAGAAAGCAUUGAUUUCUGCACCUAUUGUUCAGCCACCUGAUUGGAAUUUACCCUUUGAAAUUAUGUGUGAUGCUAGUGAUUAUGCUGUAGGUGCUGUUUUAGGGCAAAGAGUUGAUACGAAAUUAAAUGUUAUUCAAUAUGCUAGUAAAACUCUAGAUAAUGCCCAGAGAAAUUAUGCUACCACUGAAAAAGAAUUUUUAGCAGUUGUUUUUGCUUGUGAUAAGUUUAGACCUUAUAUUGUUGAUUCUAAAGUAACUAUUCACAGUGAUCAUGCUGCUAUUAAAUACCUUAUGGAAAAGAAAGAUGCUAAACCUAGACUUAUUAGAUGGGUUCUUCUGCUACAAGAAUUUGAUUUGCAUAUUAUUUAUAGAAAGGGAGCUGAGAACCCCAUUGCAGAUAACUUGUCUAGGUUAGAAAAUGUUCUUGAUGACCCACUACCUAUUGAUGAUAGUUUUCCCGAUGAACAAUUAAAUGUCAUAAAUGCUUCUCGUACUGCUCCAUGGUAUGCUGAUUAUGCUAAUUACAUUGUUGCUAAGUUUAUACAACCUAGUUUCACAUACCAGCAAAAGAAAAAGUUCUUCUAUGAUUUAAGGCAUUACUUAUGGGAUGACCCACAUCUUUAUAAAGAAGGAGUAGAUGGUGUUAUUAGACGUUGUGUACCUGAGCAUGAACAGGAACAGAUCCUAUGCAAGUGUCACUCUGAAGCCUAUGGAGGGUACCACGCUGGAGAUAGAACUGCACAUAAGGUAUUGCAAUCCGGUUUUUAUUGGCCUACUCUCUUCAAGGAUGCUCGUAAGUUUUUCUUGUCUUGUGAUGAAUGUCAAAGAAUUGGUAAUAUUAGUAGACGUCAAGAAAUUCCUAUGAAUUAUUCACUUGUUAUUGAACCAUUUGAUGUUUGGGGAUUUGAUUAUAUGGGACCUUUUCCUUCCUCCAAUGGGUAUACACAUAUUUUAGUUGCCGUUGAUUACGUUACUAAGUGGGUAGAAGCUAUUCCAAUUAGUAGUGCUGAUCAUAACACCUCUAUUAAGAUGCUUAAAGAAGUUAUUUUUCCGAGGUUUGGAGUCCCUAGAUAUUUAAUGACUCAUGGUGGUUCACAUUUUAUUCAUGGUGCCUUUCGUAAAAUGCUUGCUAAGUAUGACGUUAAUCAUAGAAUUGCAUCUCCUUAUCACCCUCAGUCUAGUGGUCAAGUAGAAUUGAGUAAUAGAGAGCUCAAAUUAGUUUUGCAAAAGACUGUUAAUAGAUCCAGGAAGAAUUGGUCAAAGAAACUUGAUGAUGCAUUAUGGGCUUAUAGAACUACAUAUAAAAAUCCUAUGGGUAUGUCUCCAUAUAGAAAGGCUUAUUGGGCUAUUAAAGAGCUCAAUUAUGAUUUUAAACUUGCCGGUGAGAAGAGGUUAUUUGACAUUAGCUCACUUGAUGAAUAGAGAACCCAAGCCUAUGAGAAUGCCAAACUGUUUAAAGAAAAAGUUAAAAGAUGGCAUGACAAAAGGAUACAAAAGCAUGAGUUUAAUGUAGGUGAUUGUGUAUUGCUAUACAACUCUCGUUUAAGAUUUUUUGCAGGAAAACUUCUCUCUAAAUGGGAAUGUCCUUACGUUAUCGAGGAGGUCUAUCGUUCCGGUGCCAUAAAAAUCAACAACUUCGAAGGCACAAAUCCGAGGUUGGUGAACGGCCAAAGAAUCAAACAUUAUAUCUCAGGUAAUCCUAUAAAUGUUGAAACUAAUGUUAUUGAAACCAUAACCCCGGAGGAAUACAUAAGGGACACUUUCCGGAAUGUUUCAGACUCCGAAAAGGAACAGGUAUGAAGUACGGUAACUAAACCGACUCCAAAAUAGUUCUAAUGGCAAUUUUUCUCCGUUUUGGAAUAUUUAGAAAAAUUGGAAAAUAAGAAGCAGUCCGGGAAGGACACGAGGCUUCCAUAAGGGUGGGAGGCGCACCCUACCCCCUGGGCAUGCCCCCUGCCUCAUGGGCACCUCGUGUGCUCUCCGGACUCCGUUUUCUUGCACGAUACAUAUUUUGGUCGGUAAAAAUUCAUUAUAUAAUCUCCUGAAGGUUUUGACCAUAGUAUCACGCAAAUAUCUCUUGUCUUUGUUUCAAGCUGUCCUGCUGCAGAUUUGAGCAACAUGUCAUCCCAGGAUUCGGAAGGAGAAAGCUAUGUGGCUGAUUACCUUGUAGAUCCUAAAGUUUAUGGGGAUGUGGAGCACUGUGUUUGGACUAUGGAAGAAGAAGAGGACUUUGAACCCAAGGGAAAGGAGGAGACGAGCUCAGAUGAAGAUGAAGCCCCAUUACCUCAACCUAGGGACAUGCAUGUGGAGUUCAAAAAGUCAAGCCUCCCUGAUAGAGCAAAGAAACUUAAGUUCGAAUUUACCCCUUUUUGCCUCUGGCAGAAAAACAAGCAUGAAUUAUGCAAAAAAUAUUAAGCUUGGAGUAGGAGAUUGAUGACCUGAGGGAUCAAAAUUCUGUCCUCAAGCGCAAAUUAAGGAAGAAGCCUACGCCAUCAACAAAACCAUUAUCUUCUUCACCGACAAAGAAAGCAACAUAAACACAUGGGUAUGGGCACUCCCCUUGGCAACUGCCAAGCUUGGGGGAGUGCCCCGGUAUUGUAUCACCAUCACAACUUUUAUCUUUACCAUUUUUCUUAGUUCGAUCCUUUUUGAUAAUAUCUUGAUCUAGUAGAAUAAAGUUUCAGUAUGAUCUACUUGUGAGUUUGCCUUUAUGAUCCUUCUAUGUAAUCGAGUCCGUGAGCUAUAUAUGAUAAAGAUUAGUGUUGAAUCAAGGGCUUGAUUAUCUUACUAUGAUCUUGAGGGAAUAAAAUAAAAGAGAAUGAAUAAAAAGAAAUAAAGAGAUCAUAUGAAUCUUAUGGAGAGUAAUGAGCUCACAUAUAAAGAGUAUGAUGAAUAAAAGUUGUUGAGAGUUGACAAACAUAGUUUUGGUCAUCGUUGCAAUUAAUAGGAAGUAAUAAAGAAAGAGAGGUCUUCACAUAUAAAUACACUAUCUUGGACAUCUUUUAUGAUUGUGAGCACUCAUUAAAAUAUGACAUGCUAAAGAGUUGACAUUGGACAAGGAAGACAACAUAAUGGGUUAUGUUUUCUUACAUCUGAGAUAAAUUAUAUUGUCAUGGAUCAUACAACAUGUUGAGCUUGCCUUUCCCUCUCAUGCUAGCCAAUUCUUUGCACCAAGUAGAAAUACUACUUGUGCUUCCAAAUACCCUUAAACCCAGUUUUGCCAUGAGAUUCCACCAUAUCUACCUAUGGAUUGAGGAAGAUCCUUCAAGUAAGUUGUCAUCGGUGCAAGCAAUAAAAAUUGCUCUCUAAAUAUGUAUGACUUAUUAGUGUGGGGAAAAAUAAGCUUUAUACGAUCUUGUGACGUGGAAGAAAUAAAAGCGACGGACUGCAUAAUAAAGGUCCAUAUAACAAGUGGCAAUAUAAAGUGACAUUCUUUCGCAUUAAGAUUCUGUGCAUCCAACCCUGAAAGCGCAUGACAACCUCUGCUUCCCUCUGCGAAGGGCCUAUCUUUUACUUUUAUCUUCUACCUUAUGCAAGAGUCAUGGUGAUAUUCACCUUUCCUUUUUACAUUUUAUCCUGUGGCAAGCACAAUGUGUUGGGAAGAUCCUAAUAUAUAUAGCUAAUUGGAUGUGAGUUUUCAUUAAGUAUUAUUGUUGACAUUAUCUUUGAGGUAAAACCUUGGGAGGCAAAACUAUAAGCCCCUAUCUUUCUCUGUGUCCGACUAAAACUCCAUACCCAUAAGUAUUGCUUGAGUGUUAGCAAUUGUGAAAGACUAAAUGAUAGUUGAGUAUGUAGACUUGCUGAAAAGCUCUUAUAUUGACUCUUUCCUAUGUUAUGAUAAAUUGCAAUUGCUUCAAUGACUGAUAUUAUAGUUUGUUAGUUUUCAAUGAAGUUUAUGAUUCAUACUUGCAAUUGUGAUUGAAUUGUUACUUUAGCAUAAGAGAUCAUAUGACAAUAAUUAUAUAAAUUUCUGUUCUAAGAAUGAUCAUGAUGCCCUCAUGUCCGUAUUUUAUUUUUAUCGACACCUCUAUCUCUAAACAUGUGGACAUAUUUUUUGAUUUCGACUUUCGCUUGAGGACAAGCGAGGUCUAAGCUUGGGGGAGUUGAUACGUCCAUUUUGCAUCAUGCUUUUAUAUCAAUAUUUAUUGCAUUAUGGGAUGUUACUACACAUUAUGUCACAAUACUUAUGCCUAUUCUUUCUUAUUUUACGAGGUUUACAUAAAGAGGGAGAUUGCCGACAGCUGGAACUCUGGGCUGGAAAAGGAGCAAAUAUUAGAGACCUAUUCUACACAACUCCAAAAGUCCUGAAACUUCAUGGAAGUUAUUUCCAGAAUAUAUAAAAAAUACUGAGCACAAGAAGUACCAGAGGGGGCCACUCACCAUCCACGAGGGUGGGGGGCGCGCCCUACCCCCUGGGCGCGCCCCCUACCUCGUGGGCCCCCUGGUGGCCCUUCGAUGCCCAUCUUCUACUAUAUGGAGUCUUUCAUCAAGGAAAAUUAAUAAUAAGCAAGCUUUCGGGACGAGACUCCACCGCCACGAGGCAGAACCUUGGCGGAACCAAUCUAGGGCUCCGGCGGAGCUGUUCUGCCGGGGACACUUCCCUCCGGGAGGGGGAAAUCAUCACCAUUGUCAUCACCAAUGAUCCUCUCACCGGGAGGGGGUCAAUCUCCAUAAACAUCUUCACCAGCACCAUCUCAUGUCAAACCCUAGUUCAUCUCUUGUAUCCAAUCUUUUGAUCCAAACCUCAGAUUGGUACAUGUGGGUUGCUAGUAGUGUUGAUUACUCCUUGUAGUUGGUGCUAGUUGGUUUACUUGGUGGAAGAUCAUAUGUUCAGAUCCUAUAUGCAUAUUAAUACCCUGUGAUUAUGAACAUGAAUAUGCUUUGUGAGUAGUUACGUUUGUUCCUGAGGACAUGGGAGAAGUCUUGCUUUUAGUAGUCAUGUGAAUUUGGUAUUCGUUCGAUAUUUUGAUGAGAUGUAUGUUGUCAUCCCUCUAGUGGUGUCAUGUGAAUGUCGACUACAUGAAACUUCACCAUUGUUUGGGCCUAGAGGGAGGCAUUGGGAAGUAAUAAGUAGAUGAUGGGUUGCCAGAGUGACAGAAGCUUAAACCAUAGUUUCUGCGUUGCUUCGUAAGGGGCUGAUUUGGAUCCAUAUGUUUCAUGCUAUGGUUAGGUUUACCUUAAUACUUCUGUUGUAGUUGCGGAUGCUUGCAAUAGGGGUUAAUCAUAAGUGGGAUGCUUGUCCAAGUAAGGAAAGUACCCAAGCACCGGUCCACCCACAUAUCAAAUUAUCAAAGUACCGAACGUGAAUCAUAUGAUCGUGAUGAAAACUAGCUUGACGAUAAUUGCCAUGUGUCCUCAGAAGCGCUUUACUUCAUAUAAGAGUUUGUCCAGGCGGAAGUGCCUUUUUACACCAGGAGCAAAUGCUCCUGGUAUGAAUAGUAAAAUUAAAAAAAUAGAAAAAAUGUUCAAAAAAUUCUAAAUUUUUUUGACAUACUUUCAAAAAUGUUUGUUAUGCACGCAAAAAUUUAUUGCGAAAUCACAUUGGUGGAAGGCGUGCCAAAAAAACAAAAUCAGAGCUCUAAAAUGCUUUUGUAAGUAACAUUUUCAGAGCAUCGAUUUUGUUUUUUUACCACGCCUUCCACCAAUGUGAUUUUGCGAUGAAAUUUUGCAGGCACAACAAAAAUUUGUGAAAGUACGACACAAAAAAAUUUCAGAUUUUUUUGAAUUAUUUUUGAAUUUAUUUGAUUUUCCUGUUCACACCAGGAGCAUUUGCUCCUGCGUGUAGAAACUCCACGUCCUUGUCCAGGCUUGUCCUUUGCUACAAAAAGGAUUGGGCCAUCUUACUGCACCUUAUUUACUUUAUUUACUUGUUGCUCGUUAUCAAUUACCUUAUCACAAAACUAUCUGUUACCGAUAAUUUCAGUGCUUGCAAAGAAUACCUUGCUGAAAACCGCUUAUCAUUUCCUUCUGCUCCUCGUUGGGUUCGACACUCUUACUUAUCGAAAGGACUACGAUAGAUCCCCUAUACUUGUGGGUCAUCAGACAAUAGCAUGAAACAAACAUAUAUCUAUGUAGUAUGGUCACUGUAUGGUCUAUAUCAUUCUAGUUUAUGCUGCCAAAUCAAGAUAGAUACGGUUCGAAUCAUAUCUAUUUAAGACAAAGCAGCAUAGACAUAAUAUAAGUGUGGGAAACUACACAACAAUAACAACACUUGUAAUGUGCAUGGCAUGAGAACAUAAUUGUUUAUUCAAUUGAAACUGAAAUCCUCAUAGAGCAAGUUACAACAUCAAACACGUUAAAGAAACAGGUUUAAAACAUACCUGUUGCGCCAUUGGAGUUUCAAUUGCAUCCUUCAAAUUUGAAAUUAGUUGGUAUGAGUAAAUACAAUGAUGCAAGAGCAAAGUAGUAUGAACCAUAGCUAUGGAACCUGACCUAAGAACAAUUCUUAUUCUGCUUUAAGCGUUGACUUGGGGUUCGGAGUGGUGGUCCUCAUGCUUUGGGCACUGCAGUUGCCUUACUAACUGCACGUGUUUGGGUGCUAUGUGGCGGAGACGGUGCUGUGUCAACGGGGACUAGGUUACUAUCUGCUAGGGUUGCGGUUAGAAGGGGUGUAGCUGGUUCUCUGUCCAACUGGGUAGGGGUACAAUCUACGUGAGUCUGGGUUAUGUGUGGUGGGCUGGUUCUUGGGCAAGUACAACCGUGGUUCUAUCUCCAUCGACAGGUAGCACGAUCUUUUCUGAAGACCGUGUUUUUGUUGGGGAACGUUGCAGAAAACAAAAAAUUUCCUACGGUUUCACCAAGAUCCAUCUAUGAGUUCAUCUAGCAACGAGUGAUCGGAUGCAUCUACAUACCUUUGUAGAUCGCGAGCGGAAGCGUUCAAAGAACGGGGAUGAGGGAGUCGUACUCGACGUGAUUCGAAUCACCGAAGAUCCUAGCACCGAACGGACGGCACCUCCGCGUUCAACACACGUACGGAACAGCCACGUCUCCUUCUUCUUGAUCCAGCAAGGGGGAAGGAGAGGUUGAGGGAGAUGGCUCCAGCAGCAGCACGACGGCGUGGUGAUGAUGGAGCUGCAGUACUCCGGCAGGGCUUCGCCAAGCACUAUGGAGGAGGAGGAGGAGUUGGAGAGGGAGAGGGAGGCACCAAAGGCAUGGAUGAAAAGCCCUCCUUCCCCCACUAUAUAUAGGAGGGCCAAGGGGGGGGGGGGCGCCGGCCCUAGGAGAUCUAAUCUCCUAGGAGGGUGCGGCCAAGGGGGAGGAAUCCCUCCUCCCCAAGGCACCUAGGAGGUGCCUUCCCCUCCUAGGACUCUUCCUCCUUGAAACCCUAGGCGCAUGGGCCUCUUGGGGCUGGUUCCCUUGGCCCAUGUAGGCCAAGGCGCAGCCCCUACAGCCCAUGUGGCCCCCCGGGACAGGUGGCCCCACCCGGUGGACCCCCGGGACCCUUCCGGUGGUCCCGGUACAAUACCGGUGACCCCGAAACUUGUCCCGAUGCCCGAAAUAGCACUUCCUAUAUAUAAUUCUUUACCUCCGGACCAUUCCGGAACUCCUCGUGACGUCCGGGAUCUCAUACGGGACUCCAAACAACAUUCGGGUUACUGCAUAUACAUAUCCCUACAACCCUAGCGUCACCGAACCUUAAGUGUGUAGACCCUACGGGUUCGGGAGACAUGUAAACAUGACCGAGAUCGCUCUCCGGUCAAUAACCAACAGCGGGAUCUGGAUACCCAUGUUGGCUCCCACAUGCUCCUCGAUGAUCUCAUCGGAUGAACCAUGAUGUCGAGGAUUCAAACAACCCCGUAUACAAUUCCCUUUGUCAAUCGGUAUGUUACUUGCCCGAGAUCCGAUCGUCGGUAUCCCAAUACCUCGUUCAAUCUCGUUACCGGCAAGUCACUUUACUCGUACCGUAAUGCAUGAUCCCGUGACCAAACACUUGGUCACUUUAAGCUCAUUAUGAUGAUGCAUUACUGAGUGGGCCCAGUGAUACCUCUCCGUCAUACGGAGUGACAAAUCCCAGUCUUGAUCCAUGUCAACCCAACAGACACUUUCGGAGAUACCCGUAGUAUACCUUUAUAGUCACCCAGUUACGUUGUGACGUUUGGCACACCCAAAGCACUCCUACGGUAUCCGGGAGUUACACGAUCUCAUGGUCUAAGGAAAAGAUACUUGACAUUGGAAAACUCUAGCAAACGAACUAUACGAUCUUGUGCUAUGUUUAGGAUUGGGUCUUGUCCAUCACAUCAUUCUCCUAAUGAUGUGAUCUCGUUAUCAAUGACAUCCAAUGUCCAUAGUCAGGAAACCAUGACUAUCUGUUGAUCAACAAGCUAGUCAACUAGAGGCUUACUAGGGACAUGUUGGUGUCUAUUAUUCACACAUGUAUUACGAUUUCCGGAUAACACAAUUAUAGCAUGAAUAAAUACAAUUAUCAUGAACAAGGAAAUAUAAUAAUAAUGCUUUUAUUAUUGCCUCUAGGGCAUAUUUCCAACAGUCUCCCACUUGCACUAGAGUCAAUAAUCUAGUUACAUUGUGAUGAAUCGAACACCCAAGGAAUUCUGGUGUUGAUCAUGUUUUGCUCUAAGGAGAGGUUUAGUCAAGGGGUCUGCUACAUUCAGGUCCGUAUGUACUUUACAAAUCUCUAUGUCUCCAUCUUGAACAUUUUCACAAAUGGAGUUGAAGCGAUGCUUGAUGUGCCUUGUCUUCUUGUGAAACCUGGGCUCCUUGGCAAGUGCAAUAGCUCCAGUGUUGUCACAGAAGAGCUUGAUCCACCCCGACACAUUGGGUAUGACUCCUAGGUCGGUGAUGAACUCCUUCACCCAAAUUGCUUCAUGUGCUGCCUCCGAGGCUGCCAUGUACUCCGCUUCACAUGUAGAUCCCGCCACGACACUCUGCCUGCAACUGCACCAGCAUACUGCCCCACCAUUCAAAAUAUACACGUAUCCGGUUUGUGACUUUGAGUCAUCCAGAUCUGUGUCGAAGCUAGCGUCGACGUAACCCUUUACGACGAGCUCUUCGUCACCUCCAUAAAUGAGAAACAUUUCCUUAGUCCUUUUCAGGUACUUAAGGAUAUUCUUGACCGUUGUCCAGUGUUCCUUGCCGGGAUUACUUUGGUACCUUCCUACCAAACUUACGACAAGGUUUACAUCAAGUCUGGUACACAGCAUGGCAUACAUAAUAGAACCUAUGGCUGAGGCAUAGGGGAUGACACUCAUCUCUUCUAUAUCUUUUGCCGUGGUCGGACAUUGAGCUGAGCUCAAUUUCACACCUUGUAACACAGGCAAGAACCCCUUCUUAGAAUGAUCCAUAUUGAAUUUCUUCAAUAUCUUAUCAAGGUAUGUGCUUUGUGAAAGACCUAUGAGGCGUCUUGAUCUAUCUCUGUAGAUCUUGAUGCCUAAUAUAUAAGCAGCUUCUCCAAGGUCCUUCAUUGAAAAACUUUUAUUCAAGUAGGCCUUAAUGCUGUCCAAGAGUUCUAUAUCAUUUCCCAUCAAAAGUAUGUCAUCUACAUAUAAUAUGAGAAAUGCUACAGAGCUCCCACUCACUUUCUUGUAAAUGCAGGCUUCUCCAUAAGUCUGCGUAAACCCAAACGCUUUGAUCAUCUCAUCAAAGCGAAUGUUCCAACUCCGAGAUGCUUGCACCAACCCAUAAAUCGAGCGUUGGAGCUUGCACACCUUGUCAGCAUUCUUAGGAUCGAAAAAACCUUCCGGCUGCAUCAUAUACAAUUCUUCCUUAAGGAAACCAUUAAGGAAUGCCGUUUUGACGUCCAUCUGCCAUAUUUCAUAAUCAUAAAAUGCGGCAAUUGCUAACAUGAUUCGGACGGACUUCAGCUUCGCUACCCGUGAGAAAGUCUCAUCGUAGUCAACCCCUUGAACUUGUCGAUAACCCUUAGCGACAAGCCGAGCUUUAUAGAUGGUCACAGUACCAUCCGCGUCUGUCUUCUUCUUAAAAAUCCAUUUGUUUUCUAUGGCUCGCCGCUCAAUGGGCAAGUCAGUCAAAGUCCAUACUUCGUUUUCAUACAUGGAUCCUAUCUCGGAUUUCAUGGCUUCUAGCCAUUUGUCGAAAUCCGGGCCCGCCAUCGCUUCUUCAUAGUUCGAAGGUUCACCGUUGUCUAACAACAUGAUUUCCAAGACAGGGUUGCCGUACCACUCUGGUGCGGAACGUGUCCUUGUGGACCUUCGAAUUUCAGUAGGAGCUUGAUCAGAAGUAUCUUGAUCAUCAUCAAUAACUUCCUCUCUAGUCGGUGCAGGCACCUCAGGAACAUUUUCUUGAGUUGCGCCAUUUUCCGGUUCAAGAGGUAAUAUGUCAUCAAGUUCUACUUUCCUCCCACUUACUUCUUUCGAGAGAAACUCUUUCUCUAGAAAGGACCCAUUCUUGGCAACAAAGAUCUUGCCUUCGGAUCUGAGGUAGAAGACAUACCCAAUAGUUUCUUUAGGGUAUCCUAUGAAGACGCAUUUUUCCGAUUUGGGUUCGAGCUUUUCAGGUUGAAGUUUCCUGACAUAAGCAUUGCAUCCCCAAACUUUUAGAAACGACAGCUUAGGUUUCUUCCCAAACCAUAAUUCAAACGGUGUCGUCUCAACGGAUUUCGACGGUGCCCUAUUUAAAGUGAAUGCGGCAGUCUCUAAAGCAUAGCCCCAAAAGGAUAGUGGUAAAUCGGUAAGAGACAUCAUAGAUGGCACCAUAUCUAAUAGAGUGCGAUUACGACGUUCGGACACACCAUUACGCUGAGGUGUUCCAGGCGGCGUGAGUUGUGAAACUAUUCCACAUUUUCUUAAGUGUGUGCCAAACUCAUGACUCAAGUAUUCUCCUCCACGAUCUGAUCGCAGGAACUUGAUUUUCCUGUCAUGUUGAUUCUCAACCUCACUCUGAAAUUCCUUGAACUUUUCAAAGGUUUCAGACUUGUGUUUCAUUAAGUAGACAUACCCAUAUCUACUCAAGUCAUCAGUGAGGGUGAGAACAUAACGAUAGCCCCCGCGAGCCUCAACACUCAUUGGACCGCACACAUCAGUAUGUAUGAUUUCCAAUAAGUUGGUUGCUCGCUCCAUUGUUCCUGAGAAUGGAGUCUUGGUCAUUUUACCCAUGAGGCAUGGUUCGCACAUGUCAAAUGAUUCAUAAUGAAGAGACUCUAAAAGUCCAUCAGCAUGGAGCUUCUUCAUGCGUUUGACACCUAUGUGACCAAGGCGGCAGUGCCACAAGUAUGUGGGACUAUCAUUAUCAAUCUUACAUCUUUUGGUAUUCACACUAUGAAUAUGUGUAGCAUUACGCUCGAGAUUCAUAAAGAAUAAACCAUUCACCAUCGGAGCAUGACCAUAAGACAUAUCUCUCAUAUAAAUAGAACAACCAUUAUUCUCGGAUUUAAAUGAGUAGCCAUCUCGAAUUAAACGAGAUCCUGAUACAAUAUUCAUGCUCAAACUUGGCACUAAAUAACAAUUAUUGAGGUUCAAAACUAAUCCCGUAGGUAAAUGUAGAGGUAGCGUGCCGACGGCGAUCACAUCGACCUUGGAACCAUUCCCGAUGCGCAUCGUCACCUCGUCCUUCGCCAGUCUCCGUUUAUGCCGCAGCUCCUGUUUUGAGUUACAAAUGUGAGCAACCGCACUGGUAUCAAAUACCCAGGAGCUACUACGAGUACUGGUAAGGUACACAUCAAUUACAUGUAUAUCACAUAUACCUUUCGUUUUGCCGGCCUUCUUGUCCGCUAAGUAUUCGGGGCAGUUCCGCUUCCAGUGACCACUUUCCUUGCAAUAAAAGCACUCAGUCUCGGGCUUGGGUCCAUUCUUUGGCUUCUUCCUGGCAGCUUGCUUGCCGGGCGCGGCAACUCCCUUGCCGUCCUUCUUGAAGUUCUUUUUACCCUUGCCCUUCUUGAACUUAGUGGUUUUAUUGACCAUCAACACUUGAUGUUCCUUCUUGACUUCUACCUCUGCUGAUUUCAGCAUUGCAAAUACUUCAGGAAUGGUCUUUUCCAUCCCCUGCAUAUUGAAGUUCAUCACAAAGCUCUUGUAGCUCGGUGGAAGCGACUGAAGGAUUCUAUCAAUGACCGCGUCAUCCGGGAGAUUAACUCCCAGCUGAGUCAAGCGGUUAUGUAACCCAGACAUUGUGAGUAUGUGCUCAUUGACAGAACUAUUUUCCUCCAUCUUACAGCUGAAGAAUUUGUCGGAGACUUCAUAUCUCUCGACCCGGGCAUGAGCUUGGAAAACCAUUUUCAGCUCUUCGAACAUCUCAUAUGCUCCGUGUCUCUCAAAACGCUUUUGGGGCCCCGGCUCUAAACUGUAAAGCAUGCCGCACUGAACGAGGGAGUAGUCAUCGGUACGUGCCUGCCAAGCGUUCAUAACGUCUUGUUCUGCAGGGAGAACAGGUGCCUCACCUAGCGGUGCUUGUAGGACAUAAUCUUUCUUGGCAGCUAUGAGGAUGAUCCUCAGGUUCCGGACCCAGUCCAUGUAGUUGCUGCCAUCGUCUUUCAGCUUGGUUUUCUCUAGGAACGCGUUGAAGUUGAGGACUACGUUGGCCAUUUGAUCUACAAGACAUAUUGUAAAGAGUUUAGACUAAGUUCAUGAUAAUUAAGUUCAUCUAAUCAAAUUAUAAUGAACUCCCACUUAGAUAGACAUCCCUCUUCUAGUCAUCUAAGUAUAACAUUAUCCGAGUUAGCUAGGCCGUGUCCGAUCAUCACGUGAGACAGACUAGUCAACGUCGGUGAACAUCUUAAUGUUGAUCGUAUCUUCUAUACGACUCAUGCUCGACCUUUCGGUCUUCUGUGUUCCGAGGCCAUGUCUAUGCACAUGCUAGGCUCGUCAAGUCAACCUAAGUGUAUUGCGUGUGUAAAUCUGUCUUACACCCGUUGUAUGUGAACGUUAGAAUCUAUCACACCCGAUCAUCACGUGGUGCUUCUAAACAACGAACUGUCGCAACGGUGCACAGUUAGGGGGAACACUUUCUUGAAAUUAUUAUGAGGGAUCAUCUUAUUUACUACCGUCGUUCUAAGCAAACAAGAUGCAAAACAUGAUAAACAUCACAUGCAAUCAAAUAAUAAUAGUGACAAGAUAUGGCCAAUAUCACAUAGCUCCUUUGAUCUCCAUCUUGGGGCUCCAUGAUCAUCUUGUCACCGGCAUGACACCAUGAUCUCCAUCAUCAUGAUCUCCAUCAUUGUGUCUCCAUGAAGUUGCUCGCCAACUAUUACUUCUACUACUAUGGCUAACGCGUUUAGCAAUAAAGUAAAGUAAUUUACAUGGCGUUUCUCAAUGACACACAGGUCAUACAAAAAAUAAAGACAACUCCUAUGGCUCCUGCCGGUUGUCAUACUCAUCGACAUGCAAGUCGUGAUUCCUAUUACAAUAGCAUGAACAUCUCAUACAUCACAUAUAGAUCAUUCAUCAUUAAUCACAACUUUGGCCAUAUCAUAUCACAAAGCACUUGCUGCAAAAACAAGUUAGUCGUCCUCUAAUUGUUGUUGCAAGUUUUACGUGGCUGAAGUAGGGUUCUAGCAAGAACGUUUUCUUACCUACGUGAAAGCCACAACGUGAUUUGUCAACUUCUAUUUACCCUUCAUAAGGACCCUUUUCAUCGAAUCCGCUCCAACUAAAGUGGGAGAGACAGACACCCGCCAGCCACCUUUAUGCAACUUGUGCAUGUUAGUCGGUGGAACCGGUCUCACGUAAGCGUACGUGUAAGGUUGGUCCGGGCCGCUUCAUCCCACAAUACCGUUGAAGCAAGAUAAGACUAGUAGCGACAAGAAAGUUGACAACAUCUACGCCCACAACAAAUUGUGUUCUACUCGCGCAAGAAGAACUACGCAUAGACCUAGCUCAUGAUGCCACUGUUGGGGAACGUUGCAGAAAACAAAAAAUUUCCUACGGUUUCACCAAGAUCCAUCUAUGAGUUCAUCUAGCAACGAGUGAUCGGAUGCAUCUACAUACCUUUGUAGAUCGCGAGCGGAAGCAUUCAAAGAACGGGGAUGAGGGAGUCGUACUCGACGUGAUUCGAAUCACCGAAGAUCCUAGCACCGAACGGACGGCACCUCCGCGUUCAACACACGUACGGAACAGCCACGUCUCCUUCUUCUUGAUCUAGCAAGGGGGAAGGAGAGGUUGAGGGAGAUGGCUCCAGCAGCAGCACGACGGCGUGGUGAUGAUGGAGCUGCAGUACUCCGGCAGGGCUUCGCCAAGCACUAUGGAGGAGGAGGAGGAGUUGGAGAGGGAGAGGGAGGCACCAAAGGCAUGGAUGAAAAGCCCUCCUUCCCCCACUAUAUAUAGGAGGGCCAAGGGGGGGGGGGCGCCGGCCCUAGGAGAUCUAAUCUCCUAGGGGGGUGCGGCCAAGGGGGAGGAAUCCCUCCUCCCCAAGGCACCUAGGAGGUGCCUUCCCCUCCUAGGACUCUUCCUCCUUGAAACCCUAGGCGCAUGGGCCUCUUGGGGCUGGUGCCCUUGGCCCAUGUAGGCCAAGGCGCACCCCCUACAGCCCAUGUGCCCCCCCGGGAUAGGUGGCCCCACCCGGUGGACCCCCGGGACCCUUCCGGUGGUCCCGGUACAAUACCGGUGACCCCGAAACUUGUCCCGAUGCCCGAAAUAGCACUUACUAUAUAUAAUUCUUUACCUCCGGACCAUUUCGGAACUCCUCGUGACAUCCGGGAUCUCAUCCGGGACUCCGAACAACAUUCGGGUUACUGCAUAUACAUAUCCCUACAACCCUAGCGUCACCGAACCUUAAGUGUGUAGACCCUACGGGUUCGGAAGACAUGCAGACAUGACCGAGAUCGCUCUCCGGUCAAUAACCAACAGCGGGAUCUGGAUACCCAUGUUGGCUCCCACAUGCUCCUCGAUGAUCUCAUCGGAUGAACCACGAUGUCGAGGAUUCAAACAACCCCGUAUACAAUUCCCUUUGUCAAUCGGUAUGUUACUUGCCCGAGAUCCGAUCGUCGGUAUCCCAAUACCUCGUUCAAUCUCGUUACCGGCAAGUCACUUUACUCGUACCAUAAUGCAUGAUCCCGUGACCAAACACUUGGUCACUUUGAGCUCAUUAUGAUGAUGCAUUACUGAGUGGGCCCAGUGAUACCUCUCCGUCAUACGGAGUGACAAAUCCCAGUCUUGAUCCAUGUCAACCCAACAGACACUUUUGGAGAUACCCGUAGUAUACCUUUAUAGUCACCCAGUUACGUUGUGACGUUUGGCACACCCAAAGCACUCCUACGGUAUCCGGGAGUUACACGAUCUCAUGGUCUAAGGAAAAGAUACUUGACAUUGGAAAACUCUAGCAAACGAACUAUACGAUCUUGUGCUAUGUUUAGGAUUGGGUCUUGUCCAUCACAUCAUUCUCCUAAUGAUGUGAUCUCAUUAUCAAUGACAUCCAAUGUCCAUAGUCAGGAAACCAUGACUAUCUGUUGAUCAACGAGCUAGUCAACUAGAGGCUUACUAGGGACAUGUUGGUGUCUAUUAUUCACACAUGUAUUACGAUUUCCGGAUAACACAAUUAUAGCAUGAAUAAAGACAAUUAUCAUGGACAAGGAAAUAUAAUAAUAAUGCUUUUAUUAUUGCCUCUAGGGCAUAUUUCCAACAGUUUUUACUCCCACGGAUACUUCCAUCACCCCCUCCAAUUGAAAUGGCUGAUAAACAAGAAAAGUAAUUGAAUGUACAUACAUUGUAAGAUAGACAGGUGCAAUGGAUAGUAGGGAAGAAAACAGGACAUGAAAUAAUUCACAUUUAUGUUGUCUAACCAAACAGAAUAGCGGGACAUAAUUUCACAUAUAUAAGGGCUAAUUAAACAGGAUAGCAUGACACAAUUUCACAUGUAUGAUGGCUAUCUAAAUAGGAUAGAAUGACAUACUUCAAAAUAUGAUGACUAUGUAAACAAGAUGACAUGAUAUAACUAUACGAUGUGUCUAGUAAAGUGGUUGGCAUGCCAUAAAUCACAAACAUGUCGUCGAUGGAAACAUGAUGGCAUGAUAUAAUUCACGGAUAGAAUGACAUAAUUCAAAAUAUGAUGACUAUGUGAACAUGAUGAGAUGAUAUAACUAUAUUAUGUCUUUAGAAAAUGGGUUGAAAUGCCAUAAUUCAGAUACAUGCUGUCUAUGUAAACAUCAUGGCUUGAUAUAAUUCAAAUAUAUGAUUUAUAUACUAAGGAAGUGAGCAGAGGGCAAUCACAUAUAUGAUGUGUCAACUAAGGAGGUUGCAUUCAAUAUCGUGUAUAUGAUGUAAAAACUAAGCAUUGCAAUACAACAUAUGCAUGAUAUGAGUAAUAUAACCCUGCCAAGUUUGAGCAUACACCUCAGGGGGAUAAUAGGACUGGUCAUCUGCCUCUGAAUCCUCCUCUGUAGAGCUAUCUGUAACCAGCAAGAUAUCUACUUCAGCAGGUAGCAUUGUCUGCUCUAAAGACCUUGUUUUCACUCCAGAUUUCUCCAUCACCAAUUCAAAUGGCUGAUGCACAGGAAGAGCAGUUGAAUAUACAAACAUUGUCGACAAAAGCAAUGAGAACGGCAUGAUAUAAUUCACAUAUAUGACGCUUGGCUAAAUAGCAUGGCAUUGCAUAAUUCACAAAUAUAAUGCCUUGCAACAAGAUAGCAUUGCAUAAUUCACAUAUAUAAUGUGUUGCAACAAGAUGGCAUUGCAUAAUUCACAUAUGAGAAAUAAUUUGCUACCCAUGGUGGUAGCUACGCGCGGCCCCGAGUUUUAUCUUUAAUUAUUUUGAUAAAUUAUUUUGGACUAUCAAAAAUAACUCUAUAAUGAAAAUAUAGUGACUUUGGACCAGCCGGGCAAGUAAACAGGCAAUUAUGCCAAAAAGGCAAGCAAAAAGACGGAGAGAACUGAGAAAAGUCCCUUUCUACACAAAGAAAAGGCACAUGUGUCAAAAAGGUAAUAAAAAGACCAACAGAAGUGAGAAAAGGUCAUUUCUAUACAACAAAAAAUGCACUUGUGCCAAUGCCAUAAGAAACCCGACACCUCAUAUAUCAAAAAAGACACUUAUGACAAAGAGUGUGUAGUUUCCACCAUGCGUGCGUAGCUACCACCGUGCAUAGGAAAUUGCCUCUCAUUCACAUAUAUGGUAAUUAGGCACUAAACAGGUGGCAUUCACACAAAGCAUGUCUAAACUAAGCAAAUGACAGAGGAAUGCAAGACACCAUACGCACGAUAUGAGCAACAUAACCCUGCCAAGUUAGAGCAUGCACCUCGGGGGUGGGGGGAUAGGAUUGGUCAUCUGUCUCUGAAUCCUGCUCUGAGGAGCUAUUGUUACCAGCAAGACAUGCGCUUUGUCAGAUAGCAUUGUCUGCUCUGAAGACCUUGUUUCCACUCUAAAUUUUUCCAUGACCGUGCCGAAUGGCUGAUGCACAGGAAGAGUAAUUGAAUGUACUAAAAUUGUUGACAAAUUUAACACAUAAUAAAAAAUGAUGUCAUGAUAUAAUUCACAUAUCACUACAAAAAAAUACACUUCCGUGAUGAUACAUGUUUGUCACAAUAGGUCAAGUUUUCUGUCAUGCAUGUACAUCCAUGACAAAUUUAUGAAAGAAUCAAGAUAGUCAUACCUGUGCUGUCGUAGAAGUGUUCCAUGACAUUACAAAAAUUGUCAUCACCGAAGUCUCCACUUCCAUGACGAUAAAUCACGCGUCAUAGAAGUGCUUUCAUCAAGGGUGACCGACACGUGGCAUCCACCAUAACGGAACGCCGUUAAGCUAUCGGGUCCGGUUUUGGAUCCGAUAACCCGUUAACAGCCCUAACCAAUGGGGAUUUUCCACAUGUAAAAUCAUCAUUGGCUGGAGGAAACACGUGUCGGCUCACCGUUGGGACAGAUGUCAUCCACUCAUUGGACCAAAAGCGCCUACGAUACAUCGACACGUGGCAUGGCCCAACAGAGGCCCAUUCCUGUGAAAAGGCCGGCCCGUUUGACUUGGUCAAAAAGGUGGCGGGCCGGCCCACGGCAAGCCUGUUAACGGCUUGUUCGCAUAUAGCCCAUUUACAGCCCGCUAACCCAGGGCCCAUCUAUGGCCUAUCCGAAUUAGGCCCAGUAGCAUCAUCUGGGCCGUCCAAUAUAAUUCCAGCCCGUUUUAACUUCCGAGCCAUGUAUGGCCCAUGACGUCUUUUGGCCCAGAUGAGGCCCUUAGUAAUCCUUGGCCCAUUAAUGGCCCAUGGUAAAACUGGCCCAUAAUGAACAGUGUAUCACUUUAUACCCAUUAACGACCCAUUAUUCUGUUGGGCCGUUUCCAGCCCAUGUUAUCUUUCGGCCUUCUCAGGGCCCAUUUAUUCUUGGGCUCAUUUCCAGCAUUCGGUUACUUACGGCCCGUUAUUGUCAUUUUCUUCUUGUGGGCCAAAUUCAACUCAUGCUUACAGUCGGCCCGUUUGUGGCCUGUUAAUACGUUGGGCCAUUUUCAUAGCGUCAUCAAAUACGACCGAUUAACGACGGCUCAUUAUGGUCGGCCCAUGAACGAACGAUUCCAACUCUAGCCCAUUUAUGUCCAUAAAGCGGUGUGUUAUUGGCCCAUGUUUGGGCAAUCGAUCAUACAUCCCGUAUAAGGCCCAUUGAUGAUACGACCCAUAGAAGGCCCAUUGAUGAUACAGCCUGUAGAAGGCCCAUUGUUUCUACGGCCUUGUAGAAGGCCUAGUGUCACUACAGUAAAUAUGUAGCCCAUGGUUAUUGUGGCCUAGUUCUAAAAAAUAGGUUAUUGCGGCCACUAGCAAACCGCGGAAGAACAGCACUGACUACAAGCAAACAAAUAAACAAGACAACAAGGAAAUAAAUAAGCAAGCAACUUACGCUAGGCUAUCAUGGCUAUUACACAUAUUACAUCCAUUGGGCAUCAAAGUUCACCACCAGUGCAAAUAUAGGGAACAAAGCAGCAUAUCAUAUACACUGGUUGUCAAAGUUGGCGACGAGUGCAAAUAAAGGCCGCCGCAAAACAAGUCCAGAACUGAAACCACUUCAGAAGAUCUCAAGAAACAAUAUCCUGGGUACCAAUAAUGCUGGCAAGAUGCUUAGCAAGCUUAUUAACUUUCUCUUAUUUGACGCUUAAAUCCUCCAGCGCUUGCUGUUGCACCAGAAAGUAUGCAUCUGAAUUCUGCAGGGACUUCCUCAGUCCUUCAGCUUCCUGUCGCAACACAUCUGAUCGAUGUCUUUCAACUUGAAGCUGAGACUCAAGAAGACGAACUGAUUCAGGCAGCGAGUUCGAAGAGCUUGUGACAGCAGUAGUGGCCAGUAACUCGAACACUACAUCAAGACAAGACUUCUGGGUUCUCUCACUGUCGUCAAGGUAGUUUUUAUCAGCUUUCUUGGAGACCAACAGGGAUGUCUCGCUAUCUUGAACCUUAUCUGCAUUACUUCCUUCACCAUUGCAUAACGGGGUAUUGUUCUCCAAUAUUUUGUCUGCAUUCUAAAAGGCAAACAAGCAGACACGUCACAUGUUUACCAUGUUGUAUAUGAAACUCAUUUUGGUUAAUCAUUUCAGUAGUAAAGUGCAUAGGAUAACAUCAUGAAACAAACAUAUAUCUAUGUACCAUGGUCACUUUAUGGUCUAUAUCAUUCUAGUUUUUGUUGCCAAAUCAAGAUAGAGACACAUUUCAAAUAAUAUUUGUUCAAGACAAACAGAAUAGACAGAAUAUAAGUGUGGGAAACUAUAGAGACACUUGUAAUGUGCAUGACAAGAGAACAUAACUGUUUAUUCAAUUGAAACUGAAAUCAAUAUAGAGCAAGUUACAAAAGCAAACCAGUUAAAGAAACAAGUUUAAAACAUACCUUUUGCGCCAUUGGAGUUUCAAUUCCACCCUUCAAAUUUGAAAAUAGUUGGUUUGAGUAAAUACAGUGAUGCAAGAGCAAAGGAGUAUGAACCAUAGCUACAAAACCUGACCUGAGAACAUUUCUUCUUCUCCUUUAAGCGUUGAGUUGGGAUUCAGAGUGGUGGUCCUCAUACUUUGGGCACUGCAGUUCCCUUACUAACUUCUCGUGUUUGGGUGCUCUAUGGUGGAGACGGUGUUGUGUCAAUUGGAACUGGGUUACUAUCUGCUGGGGUUAGGGUUAGAAGGGGUGUAGCUGGUUCUCUGUCCAACUGGGUAGGGGUACAAUCUGCGAGAGUCUGGGUUAUGUGUGGUGGGGCUGGUUCUUGGGCAAGUACAUCCAUGGUUCUAUCUGCAUCAACUGGUAGCAUUGUCUUUUCUGAAGACCAUGUUGUUACUCGCUUAGAUACUGCCAUCACCCUCUCCAAUUCAAAUGGCUGAUAAACAAGAAAAGUAAUUGAAUGUACAUACAUUGUAUGAUAGACAGGUGCAAUCGAUAGUGGGGAAUAAAAGAGGGCAUGAAAUAAUUCACAUUUAUGUUUUCUAACCAAACAUGAUAGCAUGACACAAUUUCACAUAUAUGAUGGCUAACUAAACAGGAUAGCAUGAUACAAUUUCACAUUAUGAUGGCUAACUAAAAAAGAUGGAAAGACAUAGUUCAAAAUAUGAUGACUAUGUAAACAGGAUGACAUGAUAUAACUAUAUAAUGUGUUUAUUAAAUAGGUUGGCAUGCCAUAAUUCACAUAGAUGCCAUAAUUCACAUAGCAUGAUAUAAUUCCCGGAUAGAAUGACAUAAUUGAAAAUAUGAUGACUGUAAACACUAAACAGGAUGAGAUGAUAUAACUAUAUGAUGUCUUUAUUAAAUGGGUUGCCAUGCCAUAAUUCAGAUAGAUGUUGUGCAUGUAAACAUGAUGGCAUGAUAUAAUUCAAAUAUAUGAUUUAUAUAGUAAGCAAGUAAGCAGAUGGCAAUCCAUAUAUGAUGUAAAAACUAAGCAAUGCAAGACAACAUGCAUGACAUGGGUAAUAUAACCUUGCCAAGUUUGAGCAUAGACCUCAGGGGGGAAAUAGGACUGGUCAUCAGUCUCUGAAUCCUCCUCUGAGGAGCUCUCUGUAUCCAGCAAGAUGUCUGCUUCAGCAGGUAGCAUUAUCUUCUCUGAAUACCUUGUUUUCACUCUAGAUACUUCCAUCACCGCUUCAAACGGCUAAUGCACAGGAAGAGUAGUUGAAUAUACAAAUGUUGUCGACAAAUGGAACACGUAAUACAAAAAAAUGAUAGCAUGAUAUAAUUCACAUACAUGAUGAUUGGCUCAACAUCAUGGCAUUGCAUAAUUCACAUAUAUAAUGCCUUUGCAACAAGAUAGCAUUGCAUAAUUCACAUAUAUAAUGUCUUGCAACAAGAUGGCAAUGCAUAAUUCACAUAUAUGGUAAUUAGACACUAAACAGGUGGCAUUCACACAAAGCAUGUCUAAACUAAUCAAAUGACACCGCAAUGCAAGACACCAUACGCACGAUAUGAGCAACAUAACCCUGCCAAGUUAAUUAGAGCAUACACCUCGGGGGGGGGGGAUAGGACUGGUCAUCUGUCUCUGAAUCCUCCUCUGAGGAGCUAUCCGUAACCAGCAAGAUAUGCGCUUCGUCAGAUAGCAUAGUCUGCUCUGAAGACCUUGUUUUCGCUCCAGAAUUUUCCAUCACCGUGUCAAAUGGCUGAUGCACACGAAGAUUAGUUGAAUGUACUAACAUUAUUGACAAAUGUAAUACGUAACGAAGAAAAAGGAUGGCCUAAUAUAAUUCACAUAUAAGAUGACUGGCUAAGCAGGAUGGCAUUGCAAAAUUCACAUAUAUGAUGCCUAGCUAAACAAGAUGGCAUUGCAUAAUUCACAUAAACGAUGAAUAAACUAAACAUAUGGCAUUCACACAAAGCAUGUCUAAACUAAGCAGUUGACAUAUUUGAUGUAUAAAGUAAGCAAUGCAAGGCACCAUAUGCAUGAUAUAACCAACAUCAGCAUGCCAAGUUGGAGCGAAGACCUCAUGGGGUAAAUAGGAGUGGUCUUCUGCUUCUGAAUCCCCCUCAGAACAGUUAUCUUCCUCUUGAUUAUGAUCCGAAAUGGGUGGAGGGGGGUCUACCUUUGCGCCCACCAUGGAGAGAUGUUUGCAUGAAAUUUUAUUGCCACACAAGGCUCGUCUCUUUUGCUCUACAUGUUCACUUCCAUUGUGUACAAUAACUGACAUGCAUAGGAAUAAAACAUAGUGAGAUUAUGUAAGGAGUGCAUGCACAAAUCCAGAGUGAUAGUUCCUUUCAAGCACUGGCGAUUCCAGUAGGCAGGCUUGAGCAAGGAAAAGCCUACACUAAAAAAUGUUUAUGUGCUAGUUCUAUUACUUUGGACCUAGGCCACUACCCUACUAGCUCAACUCCCAGGGCCAUCGACAAAUGCACAACUCAAACGCGCAGAGAUAAAUAAUGAUGGCGUUCAAGAGAGUCCGUCACGGAUAGCUAAGUUGCCUGGUACCUCACUGCUUGUCAUAUAGUAGGAUAAAAUGAUCGUAUUUCCUGUUACUCCGUGUGCUCAGUGGACAAUAUAUAUGACAUGUAGAGUAAAAAAGAUAUGCAACAAGUGUACAACCUCUUUGGCGAAGCCAUGUCGAUCUCAGCGUGAUUGGGUUGUCCGGUGAGGAUGCUCCAUCUGACUUGGCUGUCGGAGGAGGGGAAGAAGAUCUUAGGUGUCUGGAGAUGGAGCCCGAGGUACUGCUCCGCUGUGAUGGAGGGUUUCUGUUGGGGAACGUAGCAGAAAUUCAAAAUUUUCCUACGUGUCACCAAGAUCUAUCUAUGGAGAAACUAGCAACGAGGGGAAGGAGAGUGCAUCUACAUACCCUUGUAGAUCGCUAAGCGGAAGCGUUCAAGUGAACGGGGUUGAUGAAGUCGUACUCGUCGUGAUUCAAAUCACCGAUGAUCAAGUGCCGAACGCACGGCACCUCCGCGUUCAACACACGUACAGCCCGGUGACGUAUCCCAUGCCUUGAUCCAGCAAGGAGAGAGGGAGAGGUUGAGGAAGACUCCAUCCAACAGCAGCACAACGGCGUGGUGGUGGUGGAGGAGCAUGGCAAUCCAGUAGGGCUUCGCCAAGCACCAUGGGAGAGGAGGAGUAGGGAGAGAGGUAGGGUUGCGCCAGAACUUCGUGUAUAGCUCCCAUGCGCCUCCCCACUAUAUAUAGGGGUGGAGGGGCUGGUUUCUUGCCCUCCAAGUCCAUUGGGGCGUUGGCCAAGGUGGGAGGAAAGAAAUCUCAUUAUUUCCUUCCCCACCGAUUGUUAUCCCCCAUUUUUAGGGAUCUUGAUCUUAUCCCUUCGGGAUAUGAUCUUAUUCCUUCUAAGGGGGGAUCUUGGUGCGCCUUGACCAGGGGUGUGGGGCCUUGCCCCCACUACCCACGUCCAUGUGGGUCCCCCCAUGCAGGUGGGCCCCACUCCGGAACCUUCUAGAACCUUCCCGGUACAAUACCGAAAAAUCCCGAACAUUUUCCGGUGGCCAAAAUAUGACUUCCCAUAUAUAAAUCUUUACCUCCGGACCAUUCCGGAACUCCUCGUGACGUCCGGGAUCUCAUCCGGGACUCCGAACAACAUUCGGUAACCACAUACAAACUUCCUUUAUAACCCUAGCGUCAUCGAACCUUAAGUGUGUAGACCCUACGGGUUCGGGAGACAUGUAGACAUGACCGAGACGUUCUCCGGUCAAUAACCAACAGCGGGAUCUGGAUACCCAUGAUGGCUCCCACAUGUUCCACGAUGAUCUCAUCGGAUGAACCACGAUGUCAAGGACUUAAUCAAUCCCGUAUUCAAUUCCCUUUGUCUAUCGGUAUGUUACUUGCCCGAGAUUCGAUCAUCGGUAUCCAAUACCUUGUUCAAUCUCGUUACCGGCAAGUCACUUUACUCGUUCCGUAACACAUCAUCCCGUGAUCAACUCCUUGGUCACAUUGUGCAUAUGAUGAUGUCCUACCGAGUGGGCCCAGAGAUACCUCUCCGUUUACACGGAGUGACAAAUCCCAGUCUCGAUCCGCAUAAAACAAUAGAUACUUUCGGAGAUACCUGUAGUGCACCUUUAUAGUCACCCAGUUACGUUGUGACGUUUGAUACACCCAAAGCACUCCUACAGUAUCCAGGAGUUACACGCUCUCAUGGUCGAAGGAAGAGAUACUUGACAUUGGCAAAGCUCUAGCAAAUGAACUACACGAUCUUUUGUGCUAGUCUUAGGAUUGGGUCUUGUCCAUCACAUCAUUCUCCUAAUGAUGUGAUCCCGUUAUCAACGACAUCCAAUGUCCAUAGCCAGGAAACCAUGACUAUCUGUUGAUCACAACGAGCUAGUCAACUAGAGGCUCACUAGGGACAUAUUGUGGUCUAUGUAUUCACACGUGUAUUACGAUUUCCGGAUAAUACAGUUAUAGCAUGAAUAAAAGACAAUUAUCAUGAACAAGGAAAUAUAAUAAUAAUACUUUUAUUAUUGCCUCUAGGGCAUAUUUCCAACAGUUUCGUCGUUGGAGCAGCUCCGGUGAGUUGUACGACGCCGAGGCUGAAGCAAGACAAGAGAGACAAUGUUAACCUGAGUGGAAUUCUAAUAGCAUCUCCAAUAGAUGAUGAAAAUACAUAACCACAAAGUGCUAGAUGUAUACAUGAGCCGCUCAUCUCUGAACUUAACUGUCAAAACUGAAUUUAACUGUCGAAACUGAACUUAACUGUCGAAACUGAAUUUUGCUGUCGAAACUGAAUUUUACUGUCGACACUGAACACACUAGAGGUGAGGCUACACGUCGGUCGACUGACUUUUUCAUCUCUGGUCAGUCGAUUUUGCAGCCGUUGGAUAUGAAAUCAAGGUUCUGCAGUUCAUCUUCAACUUCCACCCCCCUGAGCCGCCAGCCACCACCGGCCAAACAACCGGCCCCUCCGCCCGCGGCCGGCAGUGCGCCGCCCCACCCGCCCCGAAAACACUCCCCACCGCCGGUCCGCCGCCGCUCCGGCCAUCCCUGUGCCCCCCCUGUGCCGAGCUUUUUCUCCGGCGAUCCCCACGCCACCGCCCCACCACCGCCGGCGACCACCACCCCCACCCUGAACCCUAAGAUAGAUAAUGGGGUACCUCUCCGGUGAGCCCCCUCCUCGCUGUGGCUGGUUCUUCCUUAACUCCGGUGAGCCCCCCCUGAAAACCGACUGACCCAAAAGUCAAUUCAGCCGACUGAAGUGUAGCUAAAUCAGAGCAGCAUCGCAAGCAAGAGCAAGAGCGAGAGCAACAUCGCGAGCAAGAGCAAGAGCAAGAGCAGACCAGGCAGGGGACCGAGAGCAAGAGUAGAGCAGUAGCGCGAGCUAGAGCUAAAGCAGCAGCAACUCCUACUGAUGUGGACGCCGCCGCCGAGGGAGCGACACCGUGGAGGAAGUGGCCGACAACACCGCCGUGGAUGGAGCCGCGCCGUGUCGGCUCGGGACCGAGCGCCGGCAGCACCAUGAGAUUGAAUCGAGAAGAAAAUGCAGCGAUUAAUGUACAACCUCUUUGGUGGUGCCGAUUAGGCCGCAGCUUCAUUCGAGGAAACGGUGAUGAUGAUGCUCUUCCGGUGGUGUAGGUGAAGGCGACGGUGUGGGAAUGAAGGUGGCGUGAAAGACGAGGGGAACAUCGGGGCAGCUCCUUGGAGGUGGAGGACGGGGUGGAUGAACCAGCGGGACGACCAUAUCGACGACGGGUCCUCAUCCGGUACGAUGGAUGAGGGACGUCGAGGUGUUGCUAUGGAUGACGUCGUUGGGGAAGAGGCUCCGGCUAGGUGGCUGACGGAGGAGGGUGUGGGGCUUCGCGAGUUUUCCUGGCCUCGGUGUAUGAAUGGGUGGGCGGAUGGGAUGGGAGUGGGGAACCAUGGCUUAGGGACGCGCUUGUCCGAAAUGUGGGGUAAGUUACGAAAGUACCCCCGCCGAAUUGAGGCGGUUCUUUCGGUUCAGGGGUAUCACGGGCAUUUCGCGUGUUGAGAUUUCAUAGGAGGUGGGAGUUUUCGCGCGCAUUGUAAUUUUGGAAUAGCAAGGCGCGGGUUGAGAUGGAGGGAGUUGUCGGAGCACAACAAGACAAAGAUAUAUCUGAAAUAUUUCGGGCUAACAAGGAGCGGGUUGAAAUUUCCGGACAAGCCUAACAUGUACUGUACCAAAUCAAUUCGCACUACAAAUGUCAUUCAAAACUUUGAAUUCAUGUUAUGUUCAAUUAAAAUAUUUCACUACAUGUAUAAUGCAUGCAACCUAGUACUCAAAUGAACAUUUUAGUGCAUUCCAAACGUAUAUACUACCGCUUCAAUUUGAACUAAAUUUGAAUUCGUUUCUCUAUUUGAAUAAGAUCUACAAUAAUGAUUGUUGUUAAGUCAAAGCAUUUGAAUUCGUUUCUCUGUUUUAAUAAGAUCUACAAUCGUCAUUAUUGUCAAGUUAAACCAUCGUUUGUGUAUUAUCUUCACAGCACACCACAUGAUUAGUCUCGAGUUACAUAUGAACUAUGUGUACUAUAUGAACUCGAACUCGAUUUUUUGAAUCCACUUUAUGUUGAUUUCAAAUCAUAGUACAUUUCAAGCUCUAGCUAGAUCUUCACAAACUAAACCAUGUCUCAUAUGUAUAAUGUGUUUAUCACAUUAUGUAUGGUGCCCCGCCCCCUACGCCUACAAGUAUUUAUAUGUGAGUUGCAAACACCACACAUUACCACAAAUUCAAAUAAAAUGUGAGAAUGUUCGAUAUAUAGUAUUGUUUAGAUUGUUUGAUAUUUAGUUGUAAGCUGCAAACGCCACACAUUAUCACAAAUUCAAAUAAAAUGUGAGAUUGUUCGAUGUAUGGUAUGGUUUAGAUUGUUCGUCAUUUAGUUGUGAGUUGCAAAUUCCAUGCAUUAUCACAUUAUGGUAUAACAUGUGCAAAAACACAACACGCGUAUCACCGCUAUAUUCAUGCAUGCAUAUGUUUAAAACACUAUGACCUCCUGUUCAAAUAUAUGAAUCCACUUUCAUAUCAAAUUAUGAUCUUUGUUAGUCUCUUACAACCACACAAUCCUCUAACCUUUGUAGCUACCACUAACUUUCUCUCAUGCAUGCACACGCCCUCCCCCUCCCUCAGCAUUCUAUCCGUCGCGCACAUUCAUUUUUUUCUUUAGGUCGUUCUCCCACAGUCUCCACAACUCCUUUCCGACACACACCGAUCGAUAAACCUCUCCAGCGAUGUCUGCCUACAACAUACACACGCACCUUCAAUCUCCUCCUUUAUGUGUCCUUGCCUCGUGUCUCUCAUACGGUCCCACACACGUGUAAACUCUCGCCCCUCUUUUCAUCGAUCUCACAACCGCACACUCCUCCCCCUAUCUAGCUAGUAGCUGGGCCUCUCGCACCACCUCCUAGCUCCAUUCUCUCUAUCUAUCCGUCUCGCCGGGCCUUAUUUGCCUCUAACAAAUGGACGUACACCGACCGAUCUCCCGCUAUACAUAUAGCUAGCUAGGUCCUUAUAACUCGUUUUUCCCCACGCGUUGAUCGAUCUACCUCAUUAGUUGUGUCUCUCCCUUCCUUCGACAAACAACAAUUGAUCUACCGUUCUAGUUAGGUUUGCUUACCAAACACAUGGUUCCCCUUCAUCAUUCAUGGAUGUGUCCCGAUAGAUCUAUCACGCACAGGCACACACAGAAACACAUCCCCACUCUUAUUGAUAAUAUUGCAGUUCCACCCUCAGUUUGUCUAGUAGGCCUCUCCCACCAUCUUCAAGAAGCAACUCCAUCACCCAUCCAACACUCUACCCCUCUCCCUCCCUCUCUCUCUCCUCUCUCUCUGUCCCAUCCUAUUUCUCGUCCUUCAGUUAUGUAUGGACGUCGACCAAUCUCCCUCAAGACAUAGCUGGGUCUCUCCUUCUCAACACAUAUAUGAGUCGUUCUACCUCUAUAGUUAGGCCUCUGCCUACCCCUCCCCCCUUCCCUCCCCCCACACACCGAUACAUCGAGCGCUCUAGUCAUGUCUCCCUACUACACACAAACUUGACCUGUGCCCUCUAACGUUCCGGUGGCUAGGUCAGUCGCCCUAUAUCUUUGACUUGCACACACACACAAUUUCGAUGGCUCUCUUCAUCGAUCUCACACCCACCCACUUGAUCCUCUCUUCGACUCUAUCGAUAUCUAUGACCCCUCCCUCUCUUCUCGUGGAUCGCCCAACCCUCUAUAUAUGAUAUGGAUAGGCCUCCAUUUCACACACAUUGCAUGCAAAAUUUUGUUUGAGAUGUCAUCAACACAUAUUCCCACAAAUAUAUUCAUGAAAUCAACCUCCCCCCAAAACAAAAAUCACUCACGAACGCACAAGCCAUUUGUCUAGGUUUGUAUCUCUCACACACACCCACGUAGGUGGGGCACGGUACACGGUGGAGCUCAUUUCUGUAUGAAAAGGCAGCCCACGUGGUAACUUGACACGUGUACUGGUUGUCCACUAGAUGGAGGGAGGAUCGUCUACCAUGGGUGAACAAACAAAUUGCGACUUGACGCGUUAUGUUAAAAAAUAGGCAAACCAUGUGGGGCCUACCUUAGAGGCAAGGCUCUAUACACUGGAGUACUUUUGAUGUGUCCCGUCAACUCGCAGAACGAGGAGAAGCUUUCUUAGUACGCCGUCUCCCCUGCCCACGGGCGCGGUGGCUCGCAGGAUGAGGUGAAGCUUGCUUACUACGCCUUACGCCCGCUCCCUCGCCCACACGCGCGGUGGCUCGCAAGACGAGGAGAAAAUUUUACUAGUACUCCCUCCGUUUACUCCUCGUCCCUACCUUGGUUAGGGAGAUUAUCAUAUUGUUUGGAAUAUAUGUCCUUUAGUAGAUUUCAAUAUGAACUACUAGUACAUACUCCAAACACUGAUGUAUAUAGACAUAUUUUAGAGUGUAGAUUCACUCAUUUUGCUCCGUAUGUAGUCCAUAUUGAAACGGACGUAAUAGUACGCACUCUCCCUUGCCCCUCGACCCUCUCCACGUGGUGGACGUGCAGCAAUUCAUUCGGUCUCAUAUAGCCAGAAUGAUAUAUACCGCUGUACCAUUAUUGCUCGACUUCCCGAAGAGGCAAAGAGCUAAUCGCAAGGUUAAUAGUUUGGAGAUGCCAAGCGCAAGGUUUAUAGGAGAACGAGUAGUAGGUGCCGCGUCAUUUAUAAAUAAAGUUUUUUUUCUUCAGUGACACAUACGCAAUAUAAAUAGGUUCAUAUGGAGAGAAAAGGAAACUGCUCUAGUAUAUACAUAGGCAGGACAAGCCUACACGGUUGCUUGCUGGGGUUGCUCUCUUCAGUUUUCACACUCUCUCGCACAAAGCCACCGUGGCCACAUCUCUAAAAUCCUGGCGGAUCACGUCCGCAGGGGAAAGGGGUGUAUGCUUAGUGUAGAUGCGGUCACCGUCGCCGACGGCGAAAACCCACUGUCGACACGUCCCGAUCAGGGGUCCCCGCCAUUCUCUCUCACAAAGCUGGUGAAGUUGCCUUCAUCCAUUGCUCACUGCCAUGAAGUGGGUAGUUGCCUCCUCCCGCCGCCCUCCUCUAGGUUGAGAUACGUCCCGACAUCCUUCAGGUACAACGCCCUUUACAGCCGGCUUGCACCACUGUUCUAGCUGCCCACAUCACUCCAUGUAGAUAUUUGUCUACUUCUUUUCCCCGCACAUACCUUUACUGGCUUCUACGUACUGUAUUUGUGAUGAGUUUAUGUCUCAUCAACUAGUCCCAGUAAUCUUAUUCUAAUCAUGCUUCUUCAAUUUCUUUGCCACAGAGAUGCUCGUCUCGAUUUUGGUGAAAUUGCACAAAAUGAUCCGAUGGUCAAAGGGUUGCGAACUUCAUUUCUUAGGAAGCACCAACGUUGCCAGCAAAUUAAAGCCUGGUUAGGGUUUACGGU
rnacentral:lncRNA from 1 species